GCAGUGCAUCACACAUCCAGCAGACCAGCGGCCCUGUCGUCCGUCGCCGUGCAUUAACUCGAAUCUGGGCACCAACCAAAACCCAUCAACUCUAGGAGCAGGUGCACGUGAACCGCGCGACACGUCGCCCGUUCUCCAGAGCCUUCCCGAUCGACCGGUACAAAGGUGCCCGGACCUCAGCUACAUACACACAUCACUCACUCAUCGCUCACUCACCCUCACACCCACACUCCCACUCUGCUACCGCCUCAUCCAGCUCCUCUCCUCCUGCAAGCUCCUGUAUCCAUCUCAGCUGCAGCUCGAAGCUCGGCCAGGAUGAGCAAGCCAUCGAGGUGCAGGGCGCUGCAGAUGCAGGUCGCCCUGCUCCUCGUCUUGCUCCUCGCGCGCGGGCAAGUGCGCGGUGCGGUGCGCGCGGUCGCGCGCGAAGCGGGGGGCGUGCAUGAAGUACUGCGGGCUGUGCUGCGAGGAGUGCGCCUGCGUGCCCACGGGGAGGAGCGGCAGCCGCGUCGAGUGCCCCUGCUACCGCGACAUGCUCACCGCCGGGCCCAGGAAGAGGCCCAAGUGCCCCUGACCACCGCCCUCUCCUCGGCCCACCGUCUCUCUCAACGCGCCAACGGCUUCUUCAACCUCCACCCUACCGUCAGGAGUAGUAGCCUAGCUACUGUACGUAUGUGAUGUUGGACGCGCGUGCUUAUGUCACUUCCCUGUGCUCGCUCGUGCUAAUUAUUGGUGUGAUGCGUAUUGUCGCCUGCUAAAGUGCUACGUAUGUGUUGUCGUUGUAGUACCACGAUCGACUUGUAGAAGUACUGUGCUACUAGCUGGGAUCGUCGAGUGAGUGAGCUUGCUGGCUGUAAAUCAACAAGUGUGUGGCUACCUGUGUACUCUACGUGGUUGUAGUACGUAGCUAAUUGUUCUCCGUGUGUCUAGCUGAACUGAAGCAGUGUGGCUAGCUGAGGCCUCCGGGCCAUGUAUGUAUGUAUGCCAAUGCCACGUAGCAUGCGCACCGAGCUUACAAGUAGCAAUGGUAAUCAUCAUGUCGCCGUCUUUGUAAGUGCCAUUGUACAUAUGAAUAUGAGGGUAUCACUGUAUCAGUAAUUAUUCGGUAUCACCUGGUAACAGUGACAGUAUAACACGCACUACCCUCCUACAUCUACAUGGCUGACGAAAUUGCAUUACCCUCCUACAUCGUGCGUAUGAAUAUGAAGGUAUCAGUAAUUAUUCGGUAUCACGUGGUAACAGUGACAGUAUAACGCGCGCUAGCCUCCUACAUGGCAGAGGAAAUUGCACAAAUCACUAAUUUGUUGUAAAAGGAAAACUACGAUUUGGGCAGUGCAUGCACGCCUGCCUUAACGGGAAAUGGCUCUAGUGCUGUCCUCCCGCGACCCCGUCGGCGCCGCGGCUCGCUCGCCUGCGCCGUCGCCUCCACCGCCCUGCGCUGCUCUGCCACCCCCGUCGGGGAGACGAUGCCGUUGCGCUGGGUGGAUUUGGCGAAGGAUGAUGACUCCGCCACUGGCCGUCCUACCAUCCGGCGCACGCCUCCGGCUCGCCGGGCUGUGCUGCGCCCGACGCUGGUCGACGCGCCGAGUCGGGGAGUCCCCUCCCCACCCCAUGCUCGUCGGCCGGUAUCGCUCCCCCUCUUCCCGACGCCUGGCCAAAGGGCCGACCUUGGGUCGCGAACCGCUCGCCGCCGCCGCGCUCCGGCAUGGGGCGUCACGGGGCGGUCCGACCUGGGUCGUGCCCGGUCCUCAUGGCGCUCGUCGGCAGCUGCCUCUGGCUAUCGGCCUGCCACCUUCCCGGCGGCGUCAUCUUCGCCGGUGGUCGCCCGCACCUUGCCGUUUCGGCCGUUCAUCGCAGCUUUUGGCACCUCCUCGCUUCGUUUUUCGCCCAGCCACCCUCCUCGUCGCCCCAUGGACACUGGAACGCCUGGUCGUGGGAAACCCUAGUCGCAGCUUUUGGCACUAGGGGAAACCCUAGUCGUUGUUGCCCCGUCUCGCUGGCUGGGACGCCCGGUCGUGGGCCGCUCUAGUGUUGGGCCUGGAUUUGGACCAUGGGCCUGUGCUGGCAGCUCCGCUUCCGGGCCCAGCCUUAGCUGCGGUCCUGGUGGGCCGGCCUGCCCGGCCAUCAGGCCUAUUUGGCCGCAUGCGGGCUUCCCUCGCCCCCAUCCCAUUCCCCCCGUGCCCUAACCCUCGCUCUUUCGACCCCCGCUGCCAACACCCUGCUCCCUCCCCCGUCGUCGCCGAACUCGCCGCCGGCCACCAUGCCCCGCGAGUGGCACGACGCUGGGACGCGCCCCAAGCCGUGCGCCGACGACCGCCGCCCUGAACCCUCCCGUGCGGAGGAGCGGCGCGACUCCUUCCGCCCGUCCCCCGAUGCGGUUCGCCAUGAGUCCGAGCUCCGCCGACAGCUCUCCUCCCACGGCGACCACCGGUCUCCCGCCCACGACGACCUCUGCGCCCCUCACGCCGAUCUCCUCCUCGCGCGGACCGCUGUGGCCGCUCCCGCUCCCCCCCGGCCACAGACCGACGCGAUGCUCGACGCUUGUCACCUUCCCCUCCGCGCCGUCGGGAUGCCAGCCGCUCCCCGGCCCGGGGCGGCCGCGCUCGUUCCCCUGGCCGCUCCCAUGGGCGGCAGGCCCCCCUCCCGCUGCCAUCGCGGUUCGCCGCUACCAGUCACCUCGGGGCGAGCCGAGUCUUCCCCCGCCGGCAAUGGGGCGGGACGGGGCCGACCCGGUGGCAAGCGCAAGAAGCGCGGUCUUGGGCGCUCAAACGGCACUGCCCCGGCCAAUGGCGCCACCCGGGAUCUCACCGCCUCGACUACGACCACUCUCCUCCCCGACGUCCGCUCCUUCGACCUCGUCAAGUGCUCCAACUGCGGCCUCUCCGGCCACUCCCAGGUGGCAUGUACUCGUCCUCGGUGUUGCUACCUCUGCUCGGACCCGGACCACCCCGCCUUCCUUUGCCCUAACGUCUAGUGGCGGAGGAGCUGAUGAUGUACGGGAACGGGAUUGAGGGCCUCGGCAACUUCCACAUCAAGGUGCCCGACAUCCUUGCCCCCUCACCGUCACUCCUGGCCAUUGUUACCGUGAAGGAUGGGGUGGCCUCGCUGAAGAUGAUUGAGGCCGAGCUCAACCACCUCUACCACUGCACCUGGGAUUGGCAGGUCACCUUACUCUCUGGAGGCCAGUUCUCGGUCGUCUUCCCGGACGCGGUCAGCCAUGGGUACGGCACCCGCAGCGGAGACAUCACCCUAGCUCUCAACAAGUUAGUGGUGGACAUCUCCAUGCCGGUGCGGGACCCCUUGGCGGUCGCGGUCUUGGACACGGCCUGGAUCCUCAUUGGUGGCCUCCCGGACAUCGCCCGCUCCGAGCGGGUCAUCCAGAACAUGUCUCGCAUCCUCGGCAAGGUGGUAGUGGUCGACGAGCUCUCCCUCUGCAAGGAGGAGGAGGUCCAGGUUAAGGUCAAAUCUCUCGACUCCUCCAGGCUCCGUGCCACCAUCCGAGUGUUCUUCAAUGACCAGGGCUUUGACCUCCGCAUCUCCAUGAGCCCCCCAACCACAUUGGCCUCCCUCGCAUCGACGACAGCUUCCUGGGGACGGCACCGAUGGGGGUGGCACUGGUGGCCACCGCAGCGACUGCGACCCUCGUCACGGCCACCCCUCUAGCUCGGACGACGAUGACGACUUUGAGGACAGCCCCACCACGACCAGCCGCCUAUGCCGGCCGCCAGGGGUGGGGUUGGGGCGGGUCGUACCCACGCGGCGACCCUAUCCCCCGAUGACAGCCUCAACGCCUCUGAUGCUAGCCUCCAGGUCUUUCCGGCAUAUUCGCCCCGCUCCCCCGACGGCAUCUCCCUCGGCAUCUUCGCCUUCUCUCCAGCCAGGGCUGACCCGGCGCUGCUCGACCCUCCCCCUCCCCCCCUCCCGCGCCCUGAUCUCCAGUUGGCGCCGCUGGGGGUCUCGGCCCUGGACCCGGCCUCGCCUCUUCCGGUGCUUCCGGAGGUGGCACCUGGCUCUCCGGCUCGGCCGGUCAGUCCGCCUGUGGUGGAUGAUGCACCUUCGGACCCACCUCCCUCCCCUGGCAUUCCCUGCAUGACGACCCUUGCUCCUCUCCUAGCGCCUUCGAGCUCUGCUUCCAUGGGCCUGGCGGUGGUGGUGACCACUCCGAUGACCGGUCCUCCCCCUCCCCCUCGGACUGCGGCCUACUCCAGGAGGGGUCAUUCGACCUCGACCCCGGUGUCCUCUUUGCACCGCAGUGCCCGGAUUGAGGCGGCCAGGCCGACAGGUGGCCCGUCCCUUCCUAUCCCUGAGCUAGUGAAAGAACAUGUGGUGCCUCCAUGUUUGGUUUUGGUAAUUGAUGACAAUCUCUGUGGACUAAAGGUUGCCUUGAGUUAUAUUUGAAGGUUUUGUCCAUAUGCUUUUCUUAGAGUACAUUUGUUGGUUUCAACGAGAGUUUGUGAUGACCAAGGUGUUAUUCAAGGAAUUACCUAAAGAUUGGUCUUGUGAGAGGUUGAUCAAGACUAAGUAAAAGAGUGAAUCAAGUUGAUCAACACACAAAGCGUAGAAGAUGUACCGAGAGGGAUCAAGCGAUCCCAUGGUAUGGUAAGCAUUGUCAAUUACGCUUUUGUGUACUAACCCAUGAUCUUCGUGGGAGUUCUUUGUGGGGUUAGGUUGUGGUGUGCAAAUUCAAGUGAAGUAUCACGAAGAGAUCAAAUGCUUGAAGCUUGUCGUCCAUUGUGGUGACAAUGGACUUGUGAAGAUGUGCGGAAGAGUGGCUCACCCAUAGUGGAGUAUGGGGGAGCAAUCAACUAGUCUUCAUGGAGCCAACACAAUCAAGAAAGGUGGUCCAACUUGAGGGAGUCAAGAUCGUCAUCAUCUAGCUCAAGUGGACCACGUGCAAUGCAAAGGUUUGCCCUUCAUAGGUUUUCUAUUUUACCGGUCUCAUGAUGGUAGUUGGGAGACCGGGUUAUAGGAUUGAUUGCCGUACUAUCAAGGGGGGCUCUCGAUGAGUAGCUUGAUCGUAUCAUUCGUAGAGAGCUCAAACCAUUGCAUUCUUGCAUCAUAUUUCUUAGUUCUUGUUUGGUUCUCUUUGUGAGUCUUAGAUCUUAUGGUCAUCUUGAUGACAAGCUUGAGUUCAUCAAAAACGGAGUUCGCAUGUAUCUUCUAUAAUGUUUUCGGUGUUGGAGGUUUUACCGGUCUUAUCCGAGGAAGGGUUCUCACCAUUUUCUUAUGGUCCUUUUCUCAUUUGAUUCUUAUUGUUAUUUCUAUCAAGAUUGUGUUAUCCCUUGUCACUAGCUUUCCAACAAACUUGGUUUCGUUGAAUUCGGAGUCCGUUUGCAGAAGUUGUGUCAGUUUUGGUGUCCUCUUAAAAGCUGCAGCGGUACUACCGCUCGUGGGAGCUGUACUACCGCUUGGGCGGUAAUACCGCGGCUACUUCCGUGGCUACUUCCGCUCCAGACCAAAAACUCGUCAUAAGUCCAGCGGUGGUAGGCACGGAUGUAAUUUUUUAGUACCGCUACCCUUAGCGGUAGUACCGCUACCCCUUGCGGUAGUACCGCUACCCCUUGCGGUAGUACUGUGAGGACGAGCGGUAGUACCGCUCUGUGCGGGCUGUGAGCAUAACGAUUGGAUUUUUUCCCACCUAUAAAAGGGGGUCUUCUUCCCCAAUGAACCUUAUCUCUUGAGCUCGUGUUCUUCCCCCAUUGUUGACCUUCUUCGAGCUUGCUAACUCUCAAUCCCUCCAUGGAUUCUUUCUAGUUUUUGAGGGAAAAGAGAGAGGAGAUCUAGAUCCACAUUUCCACCAAUCACUUUCUCCUCUAUGUGAGGGGAACCCCUUGGAUCUAGAUCUUGGAGUUCUUGGUGUUCUCUUUCUUGUUCUUCCUCUCAUUUUCCUCCCUAGCAUUAGUUGCUUCGGUGGGAUUUGAGAGAGAAGGACUUGGGCACUCCGUAUGCCCUUGCCAUUGCAUUUGGUGCAUCGGUUUGAGUUCUCCAUGAUGAUACGUGGAAGUUACAAGGUGAUAAGCUUAUUACUCUUGGGUGCUUGGUACCCUUGAGCUUGUUCCUCUUGGGUGCCUGGGCGCCCUAGACGGUUGGUGGUGUUUGUAGCUCAAUCAUUAUGGUGUAAAGCUCCGAGCAAGCGUCGGGGUCUUCAAUGUGGAGAUUGCCCCGAGCAAUUUGACGGGUUUCGGUGACCGCCCCCAAGGGUUGGCAAAGUGUACGGGUUUGGUGACCGCCCCCAAGGGUUUCCGUUUGUACGGGUUCGGUGACCGCCCUCAAGGGCCCCUUAGUGGAAUCACGGCAUCUUGCAUUGUGCGAGGGCAUGAGGAGAUUACGGUGGCCCUAGUAGCUCCUUGGGGAGCAUUGUGCCUCCACACCGCUCCAAACGGAGAUUAGCAUCCGCAAGGAUGUGAACUUCAGGAUACAUUGUCGUCUCCACGUGCCUCGGUUAUCUCUUACCCGAGCCCUUUACUUAUGCACUUUACUUUGUGAUAGCCAUAUUGUUUCUUGUCUUAUAUAUUGCUAUCACAUAGUAGCUUAUAUUGCUUAGCAUAGGUUGUUGGUGCACAUAGGUGAGCCUAGUUGUUGUAGGUUUUGUGCUUGACAAAUUAACCGCUAGGUUUAUUCCGCAUUUUUUCUAGCCUCAACCGUAAUUAUUUUAAAACGCCUAUUCACCCCCCUCUAGGUGACAUCCACGAUCUUUCAAUUGGUAUCAGAGCCUCGUCUCUCUUUGUUAGGCUUAACCGCCUAUAGAGUAAAGAUGUCGACUAGGGGAUUGGGAUUCUCUGACACUCUUAGUUUCGAUGGCACAAAUUUUGAUGUUUGGGUAACUCGCAUGCUAAAUCUCUUUAGGGUCAUGGACCCAAACUUAGAGCGAAUUGUAGAUAUGGGUUUUUCUCCUCCAAAGGAUCCCCAAAGAUUAUCUUUAUAGGAUGAGAAAAACUCUUAUCUCAAUGCUCAAGAUUCUAAUGUGUUUUUCGAUGCUUUGAGCAAUGUAGUUAUAUUUCAACUCAUGUCGUUCCGGGAUGCUCAUGAGUUGUGGACAAAGCUUCAAGAUAAAUAUGGUGUGUCCAAGAUUUGUGGGGAUGAUCGUUCUCCCUCCACCUCCGGCCAUGUUGCCUUCUCAAGUUCUUCUACUUCGCCUACAUGUGGAUUGCCACAAGGUAAUGCUAUGGUGAGUAGUGUUGGUCAUUGCAAUGAUGAUAGUGUGCUUAUCGUUGAUGACUCUUCUUCACUAUCUUGUUGCAAUGCUCCAUCUUUGGACUUUAGCACUUCGAGCACUCCAAAUGUCUCACAUGCUUGUGUUGAUAGUCCUUGCAUAUCAUGUAGAAGUUGCUUGACUAAAUCUCAUGAUGAUAUGCUUGCUAUGCCUUGUUGCCAUGAUAAAAAAUGUAUCUAUUUCCUCGAGUUGUUGUGCUAACAAUGUAGAGGAAAUCCAACACUCCAUGGAACAAGAUGUGGUCUUGAACGGUGCUUCAAGGGAUCCUAAAUCAUCAUCAAUUGCUUUUUGCCUUAUGGCUAAGGCUUCAAAGGUAUCUCACACUUUGAAUCCCAAUAUAUCUUGUGAUGAUAUUGAUGAUGGCAAUAAUGAUGAUGAUGUUGAUUAUGAUGAAUAGAAUGAUCAUGUUGCCUCCUUAAAAAUUAAGGGGGAAAUGGUUUUUAAAGCUCUUCAUAAAAAUAAAAUUGCUUGUUCCAACUUCAUGGAAAUUAUGUCCAUUGCCAUUGAGGGCAAGAAAUAUAUUGAGGAGUUGGAAUCUCAUCUCGAGGAGCAUGAGGUCACCAUUGAGAAAAUGAAAGGUCAUGAGCAUUAUUAUGCUAAUGAGAUUGCAGACCUCUCUCAAGCUCUUGAACAUGAACAAACCACCAAGGAAUCUCUUGAGGAGACUUUUGCUCUAGAAUUAUAUAGAGUGAGGGAAUCUCGUGAUAGAGCUCUUGAGGUGGCCAAUGAUUUUGAAACUAAAAAUGAGGAGCUUGAAGUUGCGCAUGCUAAACUCCUUGAGGACUUUGAGCACCUCGAAAAUGGCUCAAGGGUCAUUAAGAGUGAGCUCAUCAAACUCACCAAGUCUCAUGCUCAACUUAAAGCUUCAUAUUCAAAAUAGCUUGCCAAGUUGUCUUCUCCUCUUGUUGCUAAUGAUGAUGCUUCUACUACUAACUCUAUCUCUUGUGAAACAUCCAUAUUGAAGGAGAAUGUUGAGCUAAGGGCUCAACUUGAGUUGCUAUCUAGCAAUUAUGGGAUGUUGGAAGAAAAUCAUGUAAAGCUCACAAGCUCUCAUGAUGAUCUUCUAGUAUCCCAUAAUGUGCUAAAGUUAGCUCAUGAGGCCAUUCUUGCUAAGGUAACAUCUAGUGAGCCUCAUGUGGAUACUAGCACUACUUUUAUUCAAAAUGCUAUAUUGCCUUGUGCUAGUCCUCGCGAUUCGUCCAUGCAUAACAUUGGUACAUCUUGUGAUGAAUUGCUUUCCUUGCCUUAUUGCUCUAAAGAUGAAGCUUAUACUUCCUCCAGUGCUUGUAUUGAGACUAACCAUGUAGAGGAAAUCAAAGAGCUCAAGGCCCAAGUCACUUCUUUAAAGAAAGAUUUGGAAAAGUUUCAUGAAGGGAAUGCCACACUCAACAAUAUCUUGAGUGUACAAAAAUCCCCCAAUGACAAUGGUGGACUUGGAUUCAACUCCAGUAAGAAGAAGUACAAGAGCAACAACAAGAAGGGCCAAAAACAAGUCAAGUUUUCGGCCAAGAUUAUUUGCUUCAAGUGCAAAAUUGAAGGGCAUCAUGUUACCCAUUGAAGAAGAAGUCCAUUAGUGACAAGCAACAAAGGAAGCGGCUACAAGUGCAUUCUCAUGCUCAACCUCAAGUUGAAGAAAGGCCUCUUCCCAAGAAGACUAAAGCUAAUGCUUCUCAAGUUGAGAAAUCAAGUGAGAAGAAAGUGAAGAGUAGACGUUGCUACCUAUGUCGCGAGAAAGGUCACCUCGCUUCUUCAUGCACUAGUGGUAACUUAUCCAACCCAAUUAUUAUUGAUGAUGUCUAUUCUCUUGGGAAGGAUAAGGUUGGCAAUGUGGUUGCCAAGUUUGUUGGUACUCAAAGUGGUUUGAAGCAAAGAACCAUUUGGGUAGCCAAGCCUAUUGUGACUAACCUCUUAGGACCCAACUUGGUUGGGGACCAAAAAGCUCAAACUUGAUCAAUAGGUGAUGUUGGAGGUCAUUGGAGACUUGGCUACAUUAUGAAGAAUUAAGGGGACUUCAUCAUUCUUAUUGUCUCAAGCCAAGUUACUCGGAUUAUCAAGUUUCUAUCUUAUAUCCAAUGUUCCUCCUUGCGGUAACUCGUGCUUAAAGUGUUUACAUUGAUAGUUACUUGUCCCUUUGCAUGUUUGGGUUCGUUCCUUGCAUGUGUUUGUAUAUGUUGUGCUUCCAACUUGAUUAUCUUGAGCAAUCAAGUAUGUGUGUGUCGGUUUUCACAUCAUGUACGUGUGUGUCUUGCAUUGAGCCUUUUGCAUCUUGUUGAUUUCUUAGUUGGCUCUUGUGAGAGAUUAAUGUAAUAUCCCAUUAUGGGGGAGUGAUGUGCUUUGUGCACCUCACAAUCCUAUAAAUGUGUGUACAUGAGUAAUACCAUCCAGUAUUGAUAUUUCAAAAUUAUCUAGUCGUUAUGUGGUAUGUCUUCUCAUGAGAAAUUCAAAUUAUAAAUAGUCCAUUAAUUAUCUCUUGUUGGAUCCUUUUAUUUGCCUCUUGUUUAUCCUUAAUCGGUAUCACAUUAUGGGGGAGUAAUAUGCUAUGUGUAUAUUACUAGCCUAGAAAAUGUGUACAUUUGAGAUAUUUUCACCUAGAGUUGGUAUUUUAAAUUAUCUUGUUCCUAGGUGGCAUGUUAGCUCUACAAGUUGCAUUUUGCUUUUUGUUUGGUGUGAAGAUGAUGCCGGAUAACCUUGCUAUCUACCACCGGGAAUUAUUUCCAUUUACUUCUUGUCUUUUGACAAUUGAUACUCACUUGUGUGGUAGAAUUUGUUGAUCAUAUUUACAUUGGCGUUUGCUUUUAUUUGCCUUCCCUUUGCCAAGGAAUGUAUCAACUCCCUUUGUCUUCCAUACCACUUGUGGAUCUUGUUUAUUUCUUGAUCUUGUCUAGUGUUUUCUAGAUAUAGUGAAAGUGGUGAUCCCACCUUGUGCAUUUAUUAUUCAAAUGCAAAUUCUCUUUAAUGCACUAGUCUUGGGGGAGCUAUCCUAUUUUCUAUAGAACACUCAUCUUCCGAUCCUUAUCAAGUGUGUGUUGGUGGAAGGCAAGCCGUUUUCGUUUUGGUACUUUGUGCCAUCAUGAAACUUUGUAGAGAGCUUGGUUUGUUUGGAACCAUCCUCUCUUUUGGGAGUUUGGUAUCUUUUAUUUUGAGUGUGUCUGUCGGCGUUCUGGGAACGGGGAUCCCCAGACCUGCCUGCCUGCGGCCCAUGGCGUGGCUGAGCCAGCAGGCCGUACGGCCCUUCUUCAUCAACAAGGCAUCCAAGACCCUCGCGAGGGUCCAAGCCUCGUGAGGCAGACGACGCAAGACCUCCUCUGGAGUGGCCUGGUCAGGCAGGCUCACAGGAGCGGAGAUAUCAAGGCGGGGCGAACCUCACGAAACUCUCGUGACGUGAGCCAUGACGCACAACACCAGGCGGGCGCCAGCGCGUGCAGUGUCCUCAUUUACUCUUUGGUGCUAAGGAGGCAAGCGCAGGCGAGGAGUACCGAGGCCUGAUGACCCACAAGUAUAGGGGAUCUAUCAUUGUCCUUUCGAUAAGUAAGAGUGUCGAAUCCAACGAGGAGCAGAAGGAAAUGAUAAGCGGUUUCCAGCAAGGUAUUCUCUGCAAGUACUGAAAUAAGUGGUAAUAGAUAGUUUUGUGAGAAGAUAAUUUGUAACGAGCAACAAGUAACAAAAGUAAAUAAGGUGCAACAAGGUGGCCCAAUCCUUUUUGUAGCAAAGGACAAUCCUGUACAAACUCUUAUAAGAUGUAAAGCGCUCCCGAGGACACAUGGGAAUAUCGUCAAGCUAGUUUUCAUCACGUUCAUAUGAUUCGCGUUCAGUAAUUUGAUAAUUUGGUAUGUGGGUGGACCAGUGCUUGGGUACUGCCCUUACUUGGACAAGCAUCCCACUUAUGAUUAACCUCUAUCGCAAGCAUCCGCAACUACAACAAAAGUAUUAGGGUAAACCUAACCAUAGCAUGAAACAUAUGGAUCCAAAUCAGCCCCUUACGAAGCAACGCAUAAACUAGGGUUUAAGCUUUUGUCACUCUAGCAACCCAUCAUCUACUUAUUACUUCCCAAUGCCUUCCUCUAGGCCCAGAUAACGGUGAAGUGUCAUGUAGUCGAUGUUCACAUAACACCACUAGAGGAGAGACAACAUACAUCUCAUCAAAAUAUCGAACGAAUACCAAAUUCAAAUGACUACUAAUAGCAAGACUUCUCCCAUGUCCUCAGGAACAAAAGUAACUACUCACAAAACAUAAACAUGUUCAUAAUUAGAGGGGUAUUAAUAUGCAUAUAGGAUUUGAACAUAUGAUCUUCCACCAAUUAAACCAACUAGCAUCAACUACAAGGAGUAAUUAACACUACUAGCAACCUACUAGCACCAAUCCCGGCCAGACUUGAAGACAAGAAUUGGAUACAAGAGAUGAACUAGGGUUUUGAGAUGAGAUGGUGCUGAUGAAGGUGUUGAUGGAGAUUGCCCUCUCCCGAUGAGAGGAGUGUUGGUCAUGACGAUGGUGAUGAUUUCCCCCUCUGGGAGGGAAGUUUCCCUGGCAGAACAGCUCCGCCAGAGCCCUAGAUUGGUUCCGCCAAGGUUCCGCCUCGUGGCGGCGGAGUUUCGUCCGAGAAGAUGGCUUAUGAUUUUUCUUCCCAUCGAAAGACUCCAUAUAGCAGAAGAUGGCCACCGGAGGGCCACCAGUGGGCCCAUGAGGUAGGGGGCGCGCCCAGGGUGGUAGGGCACGCCCCCCACCCUCGUGGGCAGGGAGUGCCCCCCUGGUGAAGUUCUUGCUCUCAGUAUUUUUUAUAUAUUUGGAAAACAUCUUCCGUGAAGUUUCAGGACUUUUGGAGCUGUGCAGAAUAGGUCUCUAAUAUUUGCUCCUUUUCCGGCCCAGAAUCCCAGCUGCUGGCAUUCUCCCUCUUUAUGUAAACCUUGUAAAAUAAGAGAGAAUAGGCAUAAGUAUUGUGACAUAAUGUGUAAUAACAGCCCAUAAUGCAAUAAAUAUUGAUAUAAAAGCAUGAUGCAAAAUGGACGUAUCAACUCCCCCAAGCUUAGACCUCGCUUGUCCUCAAGCGAAAAGCCGAAAUCGAAAAAUAUGUCCACGUGUUUAGAGAUAGAGGUGUCGAUAAAAAUAAAAUACGGACAUGAGGGCAUCAUGAUCAUUCUUAGAACAACGACUUAUAUAAUUCUUGUCAUAUGAUAUCUAAUGCUAGAGUAAUAAUUCAAUCGCAAUAUCAAGUAUGAAUCGUAAACUUCAUUGAAAACUAACAAACUACAAUCUCAGUCAUUGAAGCAGUUGCAAUUUAUCAUAACAUAGGAAAGAGUCAAUGUAUAAGAGCUUUUCAGUAAGUCCACAUACUCAACUAUCAUAUAAUCUUUCACAAUUCCUGACACUCAUGCAAUACUUAUGGUUAUGGAGUUUUAAUCAGACACAGAGAAAGAUAGGGGCUUAUAGUUUUGCCUCCCAACACUACAAAAAAAGACACAUCCGUGACAUUUUGGGCCAAACAAAAAAAUUUUCUGUCAUACAUAUGACACUUCUAUGACGAUAAUUGUGACAAAACCCGGUAUCAUCAUAGAUGUGGUGGGAUCCUACUUCUAUGACAAAAAAUCAUGACAGAAAAUGGGCUUUUCGUCCUGGGCGGGCCGGAGACGCAGUUGCAUGACAUUCUUUGGGCCGUCCAUGACGGAAAAAACCAUGGUAGAAGCGAGGGGGAGGAAAAUUUCGGGGAGUUCCCGGUUACGGUGGGAGGUCGGGGGCCGAGCGAUGUGCGCUUCUCUCGUACACGUACGCGCGUGUGUGCGAGGCGUUGGCUCUAACUGAACCCGAGCGAUUGCACUGCAGGCUACGCGUUACUAAACCCGAGCGAUCGAUCGAUGGCUGUUAACUGAACCCGAUCGAGCGAUUCCUUCGCUACUGCUGCUAACUGAAGCGGAUCGAUGUUGCCUCUGGAUGAACAGNNNNNNNNNNNNNNNNNNNNNNNNNNNNNNNNNNNNNNNNNNNNNNNNNNNNNNNNNNNNNNNNNNNNNNNNNNNNNNNNNNNNNNNNNNNNNNNNNNNNNNNNNNNNNNNNNNNNNNNNNNNNNNNNNNNNNNNNNNNNNNNNNNNNNNNNNNNNNNNNNNNNNNNNNNNNNNNNNNNNNNNNNNNNNNNNNNNNNNNNNNNNNNNNNNNNNNNNNNNNNNNNNNNNNNNNNNNNNNNNNNNNNNNNNNNNNNNNNNNNNNNNNNNNNNNNNNNNNNNNNNNNACCCCGAUCGAUCGAGCCGGUUGGGGCUGGAUGAACAGGACCCCGUGGAGGGCUGGAUGAACAGGACCACCCCGUGGAGCGCAGGAUGAACAGUAGACGGUGGAGGGCAGGAUGAACAGGAGCCCGUGGAGAGGGGUGGUUGAAAAGUAGCCGGUGGAGUAGCGUGCGGUGGAGGCUGGAUGAACAGGGUCCCGUGGAUGAACAGUCGCAGGUGGUGGUUGGAGGAGGUCGACGGUGGAUGAACAGUAACUCGUGGAGGCUGGAGGGGGUCGACGAUGGAGAUGAACAGUAUCUCGUGGAGUCCCGUUUUGCGGCAUGCCACACCCCUCCCGAUGAACAGGACCCCCGUUUCGAUCGUAGCGCUCCAACACAAGUCCGUUUCGUCCGUUUUGUGGUACGCCACACCCCUCCCGAUCAACAGGACCCCCGUUUCGACCGUAGGAGGUCCGUUUCCUCUGUUUUGCGGUACGCCAGACCCCUCCCGAUGAACAGGAUCCCGUUUCGAAUGUGGCCGGUCGAACACAAGGCCGUUUCCUCCGUUCUGCAGUACGCCAGGCCUCGUUUCCAUCGCUUGUUCCAUCCAAGCCCUCACGAUGAACACGACGCAUUUCGUUGCCUCCCCAUGAACAUGACGCAUUCCGUUGCCUCCCCAUGAACACGACGACGACGUUGUUCCUCCGUUCCGACCCAGCCAUGUACACGAGCCCUGGCCGUACAUAUGUGCGAGUAGGCGUUCGAGACCCCGCCCGUAUGUACACAUAUGUGGCCGUAUUUUCUUUCUUGCACCCUGGCCGCUGUACGUACGUGUAAAUGCUACGUGCGCGCCUCUACUACGACACGUGCGCGCCUCUACAUCGACCAGUAUGUACAUACACGUUCGCGACCAGAAUGACAACGCUACGUAUGCUUCGACCAGGUGGGUCCCGACUAUCAGGCACUUCCUUGCCUGCAAAGAUGUAGCUGGUGGGUCCCAGCAGUCAGGGGGCGAAUCGUUUUUUUGCUCGGACGCACUUCCUUGCGUGCGAAGAUGUAGCUGGUGGGUCCUAGCAGUUAGGGGGAAACGUUUUUUUCACGAAAUACGGUGGCCCGUUCGGUGGGCCCCGUUGUCAGGUGGAGGAAUAAUUAUUUUGCACGUAAUAAGGAGGCACUUCCUUGCUACGGUCGUGGACCCAGCUGUCAGCCUCUCCACAUAUAGUCCAUGUCCGAUGGAAGUUGUUCCUUGACCACGUUGACCAUGCCACGCCGAGAGCACCAGGGCGGUGGACGAUGGCGAGGCCUAGGAAGGGGACGACGCAGAGCCGGGGAAGACGCGGCAGUGGAUGCCCAUGCGUAGAGGAGUACGAGGUUCACUGGUUCGCUGCGGUGUGAGGCUGCCGUCGCCGCAGAAUAACAGGGGGGGUGGGUGAGUAGAGGGAUGGCCUGGCCAGCGGUGGGAGUAGUAGGGGGCGGUGAGGCCUUCGCCGCAUCGCAGCCGGCCACGGGAGGCAGGAGCACGAGGCACGACCGGCGCUGGUUUGGUCGGCUGGAGCAAGAAGACCAGAGGUUGAAGAAGCACUACGGCCAUUGGAUGGACAUCGUACCGUCACUGGAGCUAGAAUCGUGCAUAUUGACUAAGUUGACAAAGCCCUCCGUCCCCGUCAACUUAGUAGGCCCACAAGUCAGCCUCCCACCAAGGUGGGUCCCAGCUAGCAGGGGGUAUUCAUUUUUUUGAGUGUAAUAAGGAGGUACUUCCUUGCGUGCGAAGAUAUAGCUGGUGGGUCCAAGCUGUCAGCGGCGGUAACGUUUUUUUCGCGAAAUAUAGAGGCCCUUUUGGUGGGUCCCUGAAGUCAGGGGAGGAAUCAUUAUUUUGCGCGUAAUAAGGAGGCAUUUCCUUGCGUGCGGCCGUGGACCCAGCUGUCGGCCUCUCCACGUAAAGUCCACUUCAGAUGCAUGUCGGUCGUUGACCACGUUGACCAGGCCGCGUGGAGAGCACCAGGGCGGUGGACGACGGCGAGGCCUAGGAAAGGGACGACACGGAUGCAGGGAAGACUUGGCAGUUGUUUCCCACACGGAGGGGAGUACGACUGUUCGAGGGUUUACUGGUUCGUCUGCCGUCGCCGGAGAAUAACAGCAGGUGUGGGUGAGUAGAGGGAUGGCUAGGCCAGCGAUGGGAGUACGGUCAGGCGGUGAGGCCUGCGCGGCAGCACAGCCGGCCGUGCGGAGGAGGGAGCAGGUAGUCCCGCCGGUGCUUGUUUGAGCGGCUGGAGCAGGAAGAGCAGAGAUUGAAGAAGCAUGACGGCCGUUGGAUGGACAUCCAACAAUCAGUGCUUGUGCGUCAACCUUUUUUUAGGAAAGCCUCAAAUCUGUGGAAACUGUUAAAAAAUUAUACGAAAUUUUGCAUAUUUCGAUGCGGUCCGAACUGUUUUUAAUCCCGAAAUUUCGACUCACAUUCAAACUGAUUUUAAAAAUAAACGUAUAUCAAUAUAAAAUCCAACAAAUUCUCCACGCAUAAAAAUUAAUGUAAUUUAAAAUGAAAUGAAAAAAAGAUAUUUGAAACUAAUUAGCGGUUUCAUGUGUUUUAAAAAUGUACAACCCAUUUCUCAUUACUAAUGGGCCAUUUUCUCGGCCAACCGAAUGAAAGCUCUCCCCGUCUUGAAAGAAUUGUAGCCCAACAGGCCUGACAAAGCGACUUACUUGGAAAAUCACAAAAAAACUGGGCUAUGGUCGUGGACCCAGCUGUCAGCCUCUCCACGUACAGUACUCUUUUGAUGGAAGUCGUUCCUUGACCACAUUGACCAUGCCGCGCGGAGAGCACCACGGCGGUGGACGAUGGCGAGGCCUAGGAAGGGGACGACGCGGCAGUGGAAGCCCGCAUGGAGAGGACUACGAGGGUUCACUGGUUUGGCUACGGUGUGAGGCUGCCGUCGGCGCAGGGCCUGGCCAGCAGUGGGAAUAGUAGGGGCGGCGAGGCCUCUGCGGUAGAUUCGUAAGAAUUUUUUUGGAGCCCAUUGAGGGAGUCCUGUAUUAGGGGGUGUCCGGAUGGCCGGACUAUACCUUCAGCCGGACUCCUGGACUAUGAAGAUACAAGAUUGAAGACAUCGUCCCGUGUCCGGAAGGGACUUUCCUUGGCGUGGAAGGCAAGCUUGGCGAUACGGAUAUACAGAUCUCCUACCGUUGUAACCGACUUUAUGUAACCCUAACCCUCUCUGGUGUCUAUAUAAACCAGAGGGUUUUAGUCCGUAGGACAACAUAGACAACAACAAUCAUACCAUAGGCUAGCUUCUAGGGUUUAGCCUCUCCGAUCUCGUGGUAGAUCAACUCUUGUACUACCCAUAUCAUCAAUAUUAAUCAAGCAGGACGUAGGGUUUUACCUCCAUCGAGAGGGCCCGAACCUGGGUAAAACUUCGUGUCCCUUGCCUCCUGUUACCAUCCGGCCUAGACACACAGUUCGGGACCCCCUACCCGAGAUCCGCCGGUUUUGACACCGACAUUGGUGCUUUCAUUGAGAGUUCCUCUAUGUCGUCGCCGUCAGGCUCGAUGGCUCCUACGAUCAUCAAUAGUGAUGCAGUCCAGGGUGAGGCUUUCCUCCCCGGACAGAUCUUCGUCUUUGGUGGCUUCGCAUUGCGGGCUAAUUCACUUGGCCGUCUGGAGCAGAUCGAAAGCUACGCCACUGGCCGUCAGGUCAGAUUUGGAAAUUUAAACUACACGGCUGACAUCCGCGGGGACUUGAUCUUCAACGGAUUUGAGCCACUGCCGAGCGCGCCACACUGUCCCGACGACCAUGAUCUAGCUCUGCCGCCGAAUAGUGCCCUGGAGGCCGCACCCGCAUCAGCUUCGACCCUUAAGUCGGAGCCAAUUGCACCAAUCAAGGAUGGGCAGUUGGACGCCACCUCGAGGGCUGCGAUCCCAACGGCGAUUGAGCCGAACACCAGCCCCAUACUCCGCAAAUUCGUGACUCCAAGGAGCCGGACUCCUCUCCGGACUCCGAACCCUCCGCGCCCCUGCCGAUCGAAUCCGAUUGGGCGCCGAUCAUGGAGUUUACUGCCGCGGACAUCUUUCAGCACUCGCCUUUCGGCGAUAUACCGAAGACACUGAAGUCUCUCUCUUUAUCAGGAGAGCCCUGGCCGGACUACGGUCAGCAAGGUUGGGAUUCAGACGAUGAAAAAUUCAAAGCCCACCCACCAUCCACUUUGUAGCAACUGUCGACGAUUUAACCGACAUGCUCGACUUCGACUCCGAAGACAUCGACGGUAUGGACGCCGAUGAAGGAGAUGAUGAAGAACCAGUGCCUACUAGGCCCUGGAAAGCCACCUCGUCGUAUGACAUAUACAUGGCGGACACCCCAAAAGAAGGAGAUGGCGACGGAACAGCGGAGGAUGACCCCUCCAAAAAACAGCCUAAGCAUCGGCGUCAGCAGCGCCGCUCAAAAUCCCGCCAAAACAAAUGCGGCGAUUCCAGCACGGGAGAUAAUAACACUCCGGAAAGCGCCAAAGAAAACCCCCUCCAGCAUGAUUUAGCACACGAGGAUGGAGAAACCAGCCCUCAUGAGAAGGUGGCUGACACAGAGGUCGAGGACGAUAAUUAUAUGCCUCCCUUCGAAGACGAGGCAAGCCUCGACGACGACGAAUUCGUCGUGCCAGAGGAUCCCGUCGAGCAAGAGCGUUUUCAACGCAGGCUUAUGGCCACGGCAAGAAGCCUCAAGAAAAAGCAGCAACAGCUUAGAGCUGAUCAAGAUUUGCUAGUCGACAGAUGGACUGAAGUCCUUGCGGCUGAAGAUCAUAAACUCGAACGCCCCUCCAAGAGCUACGCAAAGCGCAGGUUGCUGCCCCGAUUAGAGGAGGAAGCACUUGAUGCGGCCGACCGACCACCUCGUGGCCGGGACAGAGAGGCCUCUCGGCCCUCCACUCAAGCCGCACCCCGUACCAAGGCACGGGAAUAUGCGUCGGACUUGCGAAAUAUGUUGGAGGACAAGGCAAGGCAAACAAGAUCGAUCUACGGAUCGUGCAGGCGCCCCACGGCUCGAGACGAUAACCGUCACGCCGGCCACAAAUUCGGCAGGGCCGAACACAGCAGACAAAGCUCAUUGGAGCUACGUAGUGAUAUAGCCCAGUACAGAGGCGCCGCACACCCACUAUGCUUCACAGACGAAAUAAUGGAUCAUAAAAUCCCUGAGGGUUUCAAACCCGUAAACAUCGAAUCAUAUGAUGGCACAACAGAUCCUGCGGUAUGGAUCGAGGAUUAUCUCCUUCAUAUCCACAUGGCCCGCGGUGAUGAUUCGCACGCCAUCAAAUACCUCCCACUCAAGCUUAAAGGACCAGCUCGGCAUUGGCUUAACAGCUUUCCAACAGGAUCAAUCAGUUGUUGGGAGGACCUGGAAGUCGCAUUCCUCGACAAUUUCUAGAGCACUUAUGUGCGACCCCCAGACACCGAUGACCAAAGUCACGUAAUUCAGCAGCCAGAGGAAUCGGCCAGGCAAUUCUGGACACGGUUCCUAACAAAGAAAAAUCAAAUAGUCGACUGUCCGGACGCGGAGGCCCUAGCAGCCUUCAAGCACAAUAUCCGUGACGAGUGGCUGGCCCGGCACCUUGGACUGGAAAAGUUGAAAUCUAUGGCAGCACUCACGACACUCAUGACCCGCUUUUGCACGGGAGAAGACAGCUAGCUCGCUCGUAGCAACAAUAUGACCAAGAACCCUGGUAAUUCGGAUGCCAGAGACAGUAGCGGCAGGUCGCGUCGUAACAAGCAGAAGCGCCGCAUUAACGGUGACAAUGCUGAGGAUACGGCAGUUAAUGCCGGAUUCAGAGGCUCUAAAUCCGGUCAACGGGAAAAGCCAUUCAAAAGGAAUCCUAGGGGCCCGUCCAGUUUGGACCGAAUACUCGAUCUCUUGUGCCAAAUACAUGGCACCCCCGAAAAGCCGGCCAAUCACACCAACAGGGUUUGUUGGGUGUUCAAGCAGGCAGGCAAGUUAAAUGCCGAAAAUGAAGAUAAGGGGCUGCAUAGCGACGACGACGAGGAGCCCCAGCCGCCGAACAAAAGUGGACAGAAGGGUUUUCCCCCAUAAGUGCGAACGGUGAACAUGAUAUACGCAACCCACGUCCCCAAAAGGGAGCGGAAGCGCGCUUUAAGGGACGUAUACGCGGUAGAGCCAGUCGCCCCAAAGUUCAACCCAUGGUCCUCCUGCCCGAUCACUUUUGAUCGAAGGGACCAUCCCACUAGCAUCCGUCAUGGCGGAUUCGCCGCAUUGGUUCUAGACCCAAUUAUUGACGGAUUUCAUCUCACUAGAGUCCUUAUGGACGGCGGCAGCAGUCUGAACCUGCUUUACCAUGAUACAGUGUGGAAAAUGGGCAUAGAUCCCUCGAGGAUUAAGCCCACCAAAACGACCUUUAAAGGCGUAAUACCAGGUGUAGAGGCCAACUGUACAGGCUCAGUCACACUUGAAGUGGUCUUCGGAUCUCCGGAUAAUUUCCGAAGCGAGCAGUUAAUCUUCGACAUAGUCCCGUUCCGCAGUGGUUAUCACGCACUGCUCGGGCGAACCGCAUUCGCCAAGUUCAAUGCGGUACCGCACUACGCAUACCUUAAGCUCAAGAUGCCAGGCCCUCGAGGAAUAAUUACGGUCAAUGGAAACACCGAACGCUCCCUCCGAACGGAGGAGCACACGGCGGCCCUUGCAGCGGAAGUACGAAGCAGCCUCUCCAGGCAGUUCUCCAGUCCGGCCAUUAAACGACCGAACACCGUCAAGCGCACCCGGAGUAACCUACAACAAGACCACUGGCACGUUCCGAGCAGGCGUAGCAAUGCGGCCCCAACCCCAACCUCGCAAGAAGGCGAGAUCAGUGCUUCGCGUACAUAACUAUGCCCCCAAAAAUACCAUGGGUAUAGAGGGAGGGGCACCAUCACGGCACGGCCGAAACGCGGCUUAAACCGUACCAGGGGCUGCCAAUUUUUUUAAUUUUCUCUUACUUUCAGGACUCCACCCUUCGGAAGGCCUGUUCGGCAGUUCAAUUGCCGCACAAACGAUGCACGAACCAGGGAGGCAGACAAGCCACGCCGCAUUACGGAACUCACAGGUGGUCUCUAUCACGAGUAGUAUACCUGUUUCGCAUACUAUUCCGCAGCUUGCCCCUGGAGCAGACAUGUUAAAUAGUCCAACUUUUUUUUAUCGCAUUACUUGUAUCGUUCUGCUUUGAUCGCAGCUAUUUUUAAUAAACAAUGCAUAGCUUUUGUCUAUUUUUGCAUUACCUUUUCAUAAAUAUAUGUUCCUUAACGACAUGUUGCACCCGUACAAUUUGGUACGGCCAAAAUACGCCAGGGGCUUUAGUGCCCCUCAAUAUGGUGUGAGAAGUCCGAACACUUUCACAAGUGCGACACCCCGAACUUAUAGCAUUAUAUGCAUCGGCUCCGAAUCUUGUCUUGGGUCAAUAGUUGGGUUUGCCCGGCUCCUAUGUUUUGGCGCCUUACGUUCCGCUAUAUCGGCUAAGGUAGCACUAGGAGAACCACUGCGAUUGUGCCCCAGUUGAGCUGGGCUGAGCACCUCAGUGGAGAAAACUAAAACUGACUGUCAUGAUAAAGCGAGAGCUGGUCGCUGUCCGAGAGGUUUUUUCGAGUCCCUAAAGAUUUAUGCCGCUUAGGGCGAGGAGUCGGCUCUGUCCGGCCAAGGCGUGGAUAGCGCCCCGAACUCGGUCUUCCGAAUACUAGGGGCUUCGCUGAAAUUUAAAAUUAUAGAAUUACAUGGCUAAGUGACAGUGUUCACGCAUUAUAGUCCGAUUGUCUUGUUCGUUGGGCUGAGCGCCUCCCUCGAAGGACCCAAACAUGGGAAAAAGAGCGCUCAGGUUUAUCCCCGAACACCCCAGCACUAGCGGCAUGGGGGCAGAAGCCGAUGACUCGCCAUCUCUCAGAAUUGAUAAACAGCCGCACAGAAGGUAAUAUUUUAAAUUCCAACAGCAUUGCUCAGCGCAUAUGAACAAGUUUUCAGUGCACAGGACAAAAACGAGCGAGUUUUACUCAAAAAUUACAUCCCUAGAACAUUCAUCCGCCACAAGGCGGGCACCCUUCAGAACAUCCUUAUAAUAAUUUUCGGGCUUGCGAUGCUCUUUCCCCGGUGGUGGCCCGUCCUUCACAAGCUUCUCAGCAUCCAGCUUGCCCCAGUGCACCUUAGCACGGGCAAGGGCCCUACGAGCACCUUCAAUGCAGACGGAGCGCUUGAUGACUUCGAGCCUUGGACAGGCCUCCACCAGCCGCCGCACCAGCCCGAAAUAGCUCCCAGGCAGAGCCAUUCCAGGCCAUAGCCGAGCUAGGAGGCCCUUCAUGGCCUGUUCGGCUGCCUUGUGGAGCUCGACAAGUUGCUUCAGCUGGUCGCUCAGGGGUAGGGGGUGUCCGGCCUUAGCAUACUGAGACCAGAACACCUUCUCUGUCGAGCUGCCCUCCUCGGCUCGAUAGAAUGCGGUGGCAUCGGAUACACUCCGGGGAAGAUCUGUGAACGCUCCUGGAGAGCUUCGGAUUCGGGUAAGUAACAAGGAACUCACGUUUAUGUGUUUGCUUUGCAUAAAGAAUGCCUUACCUGCUGCUAUCUUUUUCACCUCAUCCAACUCCUGGAGGGUCUUCUGGGAUUCGGUCUUGGCAGACUUGGCAUUUUCAAUAGCCGCCGCGAGCUCGGACGCUCGCGUCUUCGAGUCAAGCUCCAAACUCUCAUAUUUCUUCAUGAGAACCUGGAGCUCUUCCCGCACUUUGCCAACCUCGGCCUCAAACUUCUCCCGCUCAAUGUGCUCUGCGGCCGUACUCUUCUCAGCCUCGAGCAGCGCUUGCUUAAGGGUCGCCACCUCAGACGUGGCCCCUACAAUAGCCAUGUUAAUCCUGUCAUUUUUUGCAAUUGCACCUUUUUUAUACAUAUUCAAACAAGGUAUUUCGUACCUUCCUUCUCCACGAGCUGCUUCUUGGAACGCCCGAGGUCUUGCUUGAACUUCUCGAGGCUCUGCUUCAGCGUGUCAACUUCCACAGCCAGUGCGGCGGAUGCCAGCAGAGAAGCCUGUAUACGCAUAUUGACUCCUUUUAUUAGACUCCUGCGAAUUCUUUGAUCCUCUAUUCGGCUUUUCUUCCAGAACGUCCAACAGAGCAUCAGGGGCUACUAUCUAUGCGGUAAUAUUAUUUACACAUUCUUUACUAACCUCAAAGCCUGUUAAAAGGCUAGUGCAAGCUUCAGUCAGUCUGCUCUUGGCGGACUGAACCUUCUGGACCACCGCACUCAUAAUAGUGCGGUGCCCCUCGUCGAUGGAGGCGCCUUCGAGCACCUCCAGCAGAUUGUCCGGUGCCCCCGGUUGGACAGGGGUCACCGGCACGGUGGGCUUGCUCCUCUUUGAAGGAGGUCGCCCGCCGGACUCUGGAACCUUUGAAGGUUCCGGAGCGGUGUCCGGCCCUGAGCCGGACUUGGAGCUCUGGGGGGUUUCAUCCCCUUUACUCCUGGAGUCCGGGAGGUCGCCUUGCAGCGCCUCCCGGACCACCUCCUCCCGGCUGGGAACCUGCUGGGACAACACUUUGGUGUCGUCCGUAGGGCAGGGGAGGAAUCCGUCAGAAGUGAGUUCACGUCCGACGAGUCCAGUGAGCAGCUCGACGACGUGUCGAGCUGGUCCUUGGGUGGGCUGCAUAAACAUAUUCGACAUAAGGGAAAGCUGUGCAAAAAACAAAUACUAUGAAUUACUCCGGCAUCCGGAUACUUACGAUCUCACCAGGGGCUUGGCCCUGGGCUCCCACUCCUCUCCGCCGCUGUCAGCGUCGGGGGAGUAGUCUGGAGGAAGGGUUUUCCCCUUCUUGGAUCCUCCGGUCUCCCUAGAGAGGGCGGCCUUCCUUUUCUUCUCUCCUCCCACUGGAGGGGGAGAGGUUUCUUCCUCUUACUCCUCGUCUUCACGGGAGGAAUGCGCCUCGGAACCGCCGGAUGAUGAAUCCGACACCUCCUGGCGCCGGGCACUCUUUCGAGUCCCCGUGGCCCUUUUCGCGGCCUUCUUCUCCGGCACCACAUAGGGUGCCGGAGCCAGCAGCUUUGCCAAGCGAGCGUCCGCUGGGCCUUCGGGCAAGGGAGCCGGACAGUUGAUCUGUCCGGACGUCACCUGCCAAUCCUGUCAAAGGUAAGGGAGCUUAGAUCCCGCAUGGAGUCAAACUAUGAAAAACUAAUACCCUGUAAAAGUAAAUAAACAGCUUACCGCAUGAGCUGAUGCUGUGUACUGAAUCCGCGAUCCUCGGUAGCGGAUACGGGGUCCUUGGCGCCCUUGAAAAGCACCCUCCAGGCAUCCUCGUACGUCGUGUCGAAGAGCCUGUUCAGAGUUUGGUGUCGCACCGGAUCGAACUCUCACAGGUUGAAAGCCCGUAGUUGACACGGGAGGAUCAGGCGGAUGAGCAUAACCUGGACUACGUUGACAAGUUUGAGCUUCUUGUCCACCAGGGUUUGGAUGCAUGUUUGGAGUCCGGUCAGCUCUCCUUUCUUACCCCACGAUAGGCUCGUCUCCUUCCAGGAGGUGAGCCGCGUAGGGGGUCCGGAUCGAAACUCGGGGGGUGCGACCCAUUCAGGGUCACGUGGCUCGGUGAUGUAAAACCACCCCGCUUGCCGCCCCUUCAGGGUCUUCACAAACGAGCCCUCGAGCCAUAAGACGUUAGCCAUCUUGCCAACCAUAGCGCCUCCGCACUCCGCCUGGUUGCCGCGCACCACCUUCGGCUUGACGCUGAAAGUCUUGAGCCAUAGGCCGAAAUGGGGGCGGAUGCGAAGGAAGGCCUCGCACACGACGAUGAACGCCGAGAUGUUGAGGACGAAGUUCAGGGCCAGAUCGUGGAAACAAAGGCCGUAGUAGAACAUGAGCCCCCGGACAAAUGGGUAGAGAGGGAAGCCCAGUCCGCGGAGGAAAUGGGGAGGAACACCACCCUCUCAUGGGACCUAGGGGUGGGGAUGAGCUGCCCCUUUUCGGGAAGCCGGUGCGCGAUGUCGUUUGACAGGUAUCCGGCCUUCCUUAGCUUUUUGAUAUGUCCCUCCGUGACGGAGGAGACCAUCCACUUGCCUCCUGCUCCGGACAUGGCUGGAGAAGAUUGAGGUUUGAGUGCGGACUUGGGCGCUGGAGCUCGAGUGCACGAGAAUGGAUAGGCAAAGGAGGAAGAAGGCGUAGGUGAAAAGGUGGAUCCUUAUCCCCUUAUAUGGGUGGACGCAACUACAUGUCCCCACCAGCCUGGUAAAACUCGCCUAUGUCCAAGCACCGUAAUCAAUGGCGCAGUUGGGUUACUCACGCCCGUAUUGAUGAGAAUCCCGAAAUAAGGGGACACGAUCUCUGCUUUGACAAGACGUGCCAAGGAAACCGCCUCGCAUGACGCGCUGAGGUGGGAUAAUGAAAUGACUCAGACGAAGGCUUGGCCGUGGUAUGUGACGCUACAGAAUACGUCAACAGAUUAGAUUUGUGUAAAUAUUAUUCUCUCUAUGGCAAUAUGUGGAAACUUAUUUUGCAGAGCCGGACACUAUCUUUGUGUUCAAAAACUUCUAUGAAGUACUUGGAGGAGGAACCCGCCUUGCAAUGCCGAAUACAAUCUGCGCGUCGGACUCGUCGUCAUUGAAGCCUGGUUCAGGGGCUACUGAGGGAGUCCUGGAUUAGGGGGUGUCCGGAUGGCCGGACUAUACCUUCAGUCGGACUCCUAGACUAUGAAGAUACAAGAUUGAAGACUUCGUCCCGUGUCCGGAAGGGACUUUCCUUGGCGUGGAAGGCAAGCUUGGCGAUACGGAUAUACAGAUCUCCUGCCAUUGUAACCGACUUUGUGUAACUCUAACCCUCUCCGGUGUCUAUAUAAACCGGAGGGUUUUAUUCCGUAGGACAACAUAGACAACGACAAUCAUACCAUAGGCUAGCUUCUAGGGUUUAGCCUCUCCGAUCUCGUGGUAGAUCAACUCUUGUACUACCCAUAUCAUCAAUAUUAAUCAAGCAGGACGUAGGGUUUUACCUCCAUCGAGAGGGCCUGAACCUGGGUAAAACUUCAUGUCCCUUGCCUCCUGUUACCAUCCGGCCUAGAAGCACAGUUCGGGACCCCCUACCCGAGAUCCGCCGGUUUUGACACCGACACCCAUCUUCUUUUUGUUAGCAUCACACCCCAUAUUGUGGCCACGGUUAAAAAGUAUACGAAAUUUUGCAUAUUUCCGUGCGGUCAACUAUUUUUAAUCCAGAAAUAUCGAUUCACAUUCAAACUAUUUUGAAAAAAAAUUAUAUAAAUAUAAAAUCCAAAUAAUUGUCCACGCAUAAAAAUCAAUGGAAUUUAAGAUCUUGUAAUGAAAAAAAAUGAAACUAAUUCCCGGUUUGAUGUGUUUUAAAAAUGUACAGCCCAUUUCUAGGCAAACCGAAUGAAACUCUCCUCGUCUUGAAAGAUUUGCAGCCCAGCAGGCCCAAUAAAGCAAGUAGGCCUUGUUUGGGUAUUUCUUUUAAAAAAUAGAACUGGGCUAGCCAUUUUCAGCAAGAAAAAAACACAACUGGGCUCAUGAUGUGGUAAAUGUAAAUAAAACCCUGGCUAGACGGGCCACAGCCCCACACAGCCCCGUUGUUACCCUGAUCCGUCGCUAAAACUAGUAUAAAUAACAACCGCUUGUUCCUCAAAAAAAUGCGCGACUUGUUGGGUCCCUAGUGUCAGCCGCUCGUAGUGUAAUUAUCUCGUUUAUUAACUACGUUGACAAUGGCGUGAGCCCCAGAUGUCCAACCAAUUAGGAGGAACCAUAUUUUUGGGCUUGUACUAUAGAGGCACUUGCUUGCGUACUGCCAUGACGCUGGUGGAUCCCUACUGUCAUCCUCUCCACGUACAGUCAUCUCCUUGUUCCUCUCGGUUGUUGACAACGUAAGAGGGCGGCGCACCGCGCACGGCGAGCGAACCAAGGCCGCAAGUUUGUGGGUGCUGGUGGGGGCUAAUCACUUGGCUUCUGUAAUGCACAGUGAGCUCAAGCAGCAGGCGAGAGCUAUGUUAUUUCCCUUGGUUUGGAUUUGUUACAAUAUUUCACUCUAAAUGAAACGAAUGGCAAGCCAUUUGCCUUGUUUCAAAGAAAAUAUGACAGUCACAGUCGAGUUGAAAAGGGCAGGAACAUCUAACUCCAGCUUACAAACUGUACAAAAGCACGAGGGUUAAUUGUUCAUCAGGUUUACAAAAAACCAGAUUGAAAAGGGCAACAACAUCUAACUCCAGCACUAUUUUCGGCAGUCACAGUCAAAUGGAUCGGUCAGGUCCAUAGAAUGAACAUCCUGGGUCAUAAAAUUUACUGGAUUAUGACCACAAUAUGUUGUAAAUAGAAGCCCGGCACAUUCAAAAGCUCUUUUGCCCACCUGAAACUCCUUUUUUUGCUCUUCGACAUACCCAUCCGUAAAAACCAUGUUGCUGAUAAACUUAAGCCUGAUGGACAAUAGUAACCUCGCAUUCAGCAGGAAGAAUGUGACAAAUCUUGUGUUUGCACGGUUGGCUACAUAUCGUUCUAGCAUUAUUGUCUUCAAUCGAAUCUCAUGAGAAGUGAGAAAAUCCCGAUGCUUAUGAAUCCACCGAUUGGUUAUAACUUUCUUACCCCGUCCUGUUGCCUAAAUAGACAUGAAGAUUGAAAACAGUUAAGGUCUAAAAGAAGAGUGUUGAAAGAGCAACAGCUGAACGGUUAAUUCUAGUACACUAUAUGCGGGCUUCCAAUGUGCGUGAAAUUAUCACCUUUAUAUAAAACUUCUCCAGACAUGGAAAGCAUUGCAGCAAGCCUAUAAUCUUGUUCAGAUCAAAACUAUUCAUUUGGAUAUAUAAGAUCUUAACAGAAUCCAACACCAUUGAUAGGCCAUCCAUGGAGAAACUCUUCAUUGAGCAUAGAACAUAAUAUUAGUACAAAAUGUGUACUCCAAGAUGAUAUAUAAAUUAUGCGUAGAAAUUUAAAAUGCAGCUUAUGGUUACAACUGUAGAUGAUAAUAUAAAGUACCUGAAGAACUGUGGAGCCAAACACCAUAUUGAAAUGAGCACAGAGAUCAUGUAUUACACCCAAGGUCUCUAGUUUAGGCGCAGAGAGGACAGUUAUUUGCAACGGUGAAUAACUAUAAUCAAGGAUCAACCUUUGAAGUGAAGGGGCAUCUUGGAUGAUGAGCUGCCUUCCGUCAAAAGAAAUUCCAAUUCUUACAAGGUUAGGUGACUCUAUUUGGCAACCGAUUCUAACUAUGAAAACAAGCACCAAGCACUCCAGCGCAGGGCAACUGGAGUGGAUGAUGUUGCGCAAUGAGGCCUCCGAUAUACGAACCCGCACAAGUGAAAGUUUCUUGAGAAAUGGGAGUCAAAGGUUUAGUACUAGAUUGUCUGGUAGGUAGCACUGCGCAAAGGUGGUGGUGAGGAGAGAGGACGAAAACCCCGAGAUGGACAUCGGUGCUGAGGGCACAAGUUCAUGGCGUUCGGUAUGUGGUAUGUGAUUUCCUGGGGAAUAGUAGAACUCAAGCAUCUAUAGUUCUGUGAAUUCAGGGGAUUCCAGCCAGGCGUCCACCGUGCAGGGCAUGGUAUGCUUGCUCAGGUAGCAUGACGGGAUGUAGAGGCUUUGAACGGAGCCCUGGUGGGAGGAGAUGAUGGCUCUGGGGAUUUCAAAAUCAUUGAAGAGAGAUAGCUGACGAUAGUCGAGAUUAAGGGGAACGACGCGCCAUAGAGGGCGCCAUCAAAUUGAGAGGACUUGGGUGCGGCAGCAAUCCUUGGUGGGGAGAAGCGAGAUGAUCUCCCCAAGGAUGGCGUCCGGGAGAUCGCUGAUGCGGUCCACCCAAGAUUCUACGGGUUCCUGGGAUCCGGUGGGGGCGGGGUCGCCGCUUCUCCCCGCGCUGCCGGGUGCAGGAUCUACAACAGGCGUCACUGCUGGCGGGAGCCUCAUCUUCUUGGCGCUGGGGUCAGCCGACUCCAUUUUCUUCGAGGGCGUCGCGUCGUGCUCACGGAUUUGAGCAGAGUAACGAAUGACGAGCCAAGUUGUAGUGCGAGCGAAGAAUAAGGGGAGCUGGGGGUUUUCUGUAGGAGUGAGGAAGAAGGGGAGCUGGGGUUUUCUGUAGGAGUGAGGUGAGGAAUUUGGGGGUACGAGUGGAGCGAGCUGACGUGAGGUGGGUGGGAGCGAGGAGGAAGAAGAGCACCCAGGUUUUUGAAUUGAUUUUACUAUUUACUAGUGUGGAUGGGCUGUUUUGUCUUGGGACCCGAGAAACAAUUACUACUAGUACAGUGGAGACACUUUACAGCUACCCAGAAAAACAAUUACUACUAGUACAGUGGAGACACUCUACCGCUUCUGACUCCUCCUAGGUCAUUGAAACGUCUCCCUCUACUAAAUGCCGUUAUACUUUUGUUCACUGACAUGCGGGCCAUGCAGCACGUGGGCCCAAAUUCCAUCCACCAAAUUAGAAGGCAGUAUGCAGGCGGAGAGUCACCCCGGUCGUAGCACGGCAGUAACGAGCCAUCGUAUCACAAAACCCCACCUCCCUGCAGUCUAAGUUUGACGGACGAAGCAACCAUCAUUUCACUCUUCGAUGAAUCCCCUUCUCCCUCACUGUCUUCAAGAAAGGCAACACUUGCAUCUGCCACUGUUCUUCUCUCCGAAUGAAGGGAAGGUAAGUGGAUCCGUGAUGUUGGUAUAAUUUUGUUCAGAGGGAAAAAAAGAACUUUUGCAAAGCAGUAACCGAUCCUCACUCACUUUUUUGUUUCACUGUCAUUGCGAUUGUGUUUUCCUUUCAGUGGACUCCUAGUAUUCGUCAGUUUCAUGAUGGACCAAGGAGAACCAGGCAAAGAUCUGCCGAUAUUGGAGCAGACGCGGGAGGCUAAUCCCCACGAGACAGAGAGCUCCAAGAAGAUGGAGGUAACCACCAAGGCGACCCCAGAUACUGAGAUGGUCAACUCCCCGUUUGAUGUUACAGCCCCCGUGGCACUGCAGGAGCAGUUUUCUCCCUUCGAGGAUGUGUNNNNNNNNNNNNNNNNNNNNNNNNNNNNNNNNNNNNNNNNNNNNNNNNNNNNNNNNNNNNNNNNNNNNNNNNNNNNNNNNNNNNNNNNNNNNNNNNNNNNNNNNNNNNNNNNNNNNNNNNNNNNNNNNNNNNNNNNNNNNNNNNNNNNNNNNNNNNNNNNNNNNNNNNNNNNNNNNNNNNNNNNNNNNNNNNNNNNNNNNNNNNNNNNNNNNNNNNNNNNNNNNNNNNNNNNNNNNNNNNNNNNNNNNNNNNNNNNNNNNNNNNNNNNNNNNNNNNNNNNNNNNNNNNNNNNNNNNNNNNNNNNNNNNNNNNNNNNNNNNNNNNNNUGAGCUGUCCAAGGUGAUUUCCUUCUUUGCCGAUCUCGAUUGUGGUUUUUCAUCUAAGUAUGUGGUGAUUUUUUUUAGAAAAGGAAGUAUGUGGUGAUUAAUAAUGCACAAUUUUAUUAGCUUCGAUGCCAUGGUAUACGUAGUGGUUUAAAUAACUUGUGUUUCUUAUAGUGAAAACUAAUUUAGAAUUUGUUUCUGUUUCAAUUAGAGCCCUGAUGCAGACAAGGAUUGUGUGGUUGUACAUGUCACUCGCUAUGAGGUGGACGACCUAAAUAUACGCACUGGGAAAACAGAGUUCUUAGGCUGCUGGAUCCUGGAAGCCAUUUGUGGUUAUACCAAUGAAGAGUUGUAUUCCAACCUCACUGUUGUCAGGCAUGUUGUCCAGGGUGUACUGAAGCACAAGAAGUUCAAAGCUACUCCUUCGUUUGUGAGGAAUAUAGUUCUUGUCAAGCUUACGCAGGAAGAUGACGUGGCAUGCCUCCACAAACAAGUUUAUCAGUGGCAAGGCCACAAGGUUGUCUUCAUGAAGGUUCACAUGAUUGAGCUGCUGCGGGACGUCCUCGAUGAUGUUCAUGGCAAGGUCCGUCUUGUGUCCUGCCCAAAUUAGAUCAAGGCAUGAAAUAGUUGCCCCAUCUAGUGUUUAAUAGUAGUUUGGAUUGUGUCUAAUUAUCCGAACCUUACCUGUUAUCGACCCCUCGAGGGCUAGUACUCUAUUUGAAUCCCUCUAUGGGAACUGCUGCUACUUUUGUGUGCCCGUGAAUCAUGUGAGAACCAUCGUAAUUGUUGCCGAAAGAGAUGCAUACUCACUAGUUUUUUCAUGAAUAUGGCAUGGUAAGACAUAAGUUGUCAUGGUUUAUCAUACGAGCAGUGUGUGUUGACGAAAUAGAGCACUCGUUCGAGAACCGUGCGCCGACGUAUACAUAAGUACUUGUAAACACUGUUGGUGCUACCACACUUGUAAGCAGUUGUGCAAAACACGGCACAUUGGCUCAGCUUGCUUCAACACUAGCCUAUUGACCAGCUAACAAUCAACAAUCUGUUGUUUGACAUAUAAGCAACUAUGUAUCUUGUUAUAGUGGUUCAUGCAGUUAAUUGAGGCCACAAUUGAAUAAAUUCCAAAUGUUCACACGCUAGUCCAAUGCUCAUGUGGAACACUCACAUUAAACUCGUCUUCAUAAAAAACUUGAAAAGCAUAAGUUAAGCAAUUUUAUACAUCUCAAUGAUUCAUAGAACAUAACAAACAUAUACUAGUUCACAGAAAAAGACAAAGUUGUGAGAAGGUUUACAAAUCAGGAAAAAACAAGCAAGGCUUCUCUCUGAGCAAAGGGCCUCCCGGCAGGCUUAAAUUUCCUGGAGUUCACUCUGGUUUUUUCUUGUUGCCACCAUACAGGGUUAGGUUCACUCAUUCCAGAAUAACCAAUUAUAAUUGUGGUAUCAGCUGGAAUGCUGAACUGAACCAUGUAGUGUACUGACCAGCUGAAAUGCUUGUGCAUUCCACUAAAUUUAAGCACCGCUAUUUGCAAAAAUAAGCAGACCACAAUGCCUCUUGUCCGCGCACCUGUCCAAAAAACCGCCGUGCAGCCGUGCCAGCUAGUCCUUGGUCCAUGGAUGAAUUGGUAGAAAGUGCAUUCCCGACUAGGAUGCAGUUGUUUUCACUCGUCCCUGCACUGCAAUCAGGAAGUAAAACGUACGAAUCAGCUUCUUUUAGAUUGCGUUGGUCUUUCUACCUUAGUUACUACCAAUGUAGGGAUACCUUGAAGACGGGAGGUUAGACGACGGUAGCGAUGGAUAGCCAUCUCAUUUUGCGCAGUUGUACUAAAACUGAGGUGUGUGCUUUUGAUUGCACGGAUAGAAACGAUACGGAGACAGACAUCCCGAAACGAUAUGGAGACAGACAUCCCCGUUUGCGCAAAUAAGAUAUACAGUUAUUUAAACAGUGACAGAUAUUACUACUUUCCCCCGUUUCCUCUUAGAACCAAGUCCUAGAUUCAUGCUACAGCUUUCCCACUUUCUUCCCUGUUUGAACCAACGCUUUGAGUCGACUGUAUGAAAUAGCUUUACUUCUAAUCUACUACUACUAUAAUGCGGUAGUUUUGAAAUUGGAUUUACCACUCCAUCUUCGGUUCUCCUACCCAAACAAGCAUUGGCUCAAAAUCCACCGUUCAUUUCCCCUCUCAUGCAUAUCACUGCCGUCCAUCAAACAAAGGAUGAUAUGAUCUGACGGCUAAGAGCUGCCGGAUUCGCUCCCGCUCCUUGUGCACAUGGCCGACUCUGCUCUCCAAGUAAACAAAUAAAGAAGUCCCUGUUGAAUCUGGAUUGCACCUACUGAAGUUGAGAAAUGUCUAGAAACUGCUGCCACCUCCUCACAUGCAAGUACGACAAGUUAGCAAAUAGCUAGCACAUUUUGGUUCCCCGUUGUCACCUCGGAAAUAAACACUCUACUACUAACUAAUUUUUUUAGAUUACUGUAAAAAUGGAUUUUUUAGAUGCCGCUAUACUGCAAAUUUACACUGUUCACAUAACAUAACAUUGCAUGGCUGAUGCUAGCUAAAGUUUUAUUCUGCUUCAUCGAGAAAUUUAAUAUUUUUAUUAUUCGCAGAAAAAGUGUAAUAUUUUAUUUCAGUCAUACAUAAGCUAUACCUCAAGCUAAUAUAGGACAUGAGUGUCUGUCAGACCUAAAUGACUUAUUUAGUUGCACAAAAUAGUCCAUAAACAUGCAUGUAAACCGUCAAACAACUCUGGAACUAUACAUCAGUGGAACCCAGGAAACAGCAUAUAAUAAAACUACAACUUUUAUCUUGUAAUCAAAUUCUUAAUUGGAACUCAGUUUGAUUUGUGCAAGUGAUUUGCUUCUUAUUUCAGAAUAGUCCUUAAAUCAUGCAAACAAACACACUAUGAUAUCUACUCAAGAUACGACUACCCAUUUCUCUCUCUAAAAAGAAGGUAUAUGAGUAUCUAUCAUACAGAACAUACGUGCAAAGCAUGUGCCUUAGUAGAAGUCUAGGUGGCUUUGGAACAGCGGACGGAAGUAGAAAAGGAUCCACGCGAAGGGAGCUGAGGCAGUAGAGCAAGGCAGGUUUCGAAGGAAUAUAUACCUGAGGGUCAUCGGCAUGUCGCAAAGACGGCGUUGGGAGGCCGCAUCUUGGCCACAAUACCGUAGGGACGAAGAAGGGGUAAGAGGCCCUCCCGAGCCGGCACUCUCUUAGAGAGAAUGGCACGGCCACCUAUCGGGACACGCGGGCAGCCGUUGGUCUCCUCCCUUGCUGCCGACGACAGCGUGAACAAUGCACCUACACACCUGCCCCGGCCGAGGUUGUCCGGCCGGAUUUGUGACCAGCCGUGAGCUGAGAGAGAGUGUGGCCACCUAUGUGUUGCUUACAUCUGGAGAGCAUGAGAGAGUGAACGAGAGGAACCCUAGUAAAGCAAGCGCUAAGGCUCCUGCUUUUAUAUAUAGUGAAGUGAUUUUGUUGUACCAGCUUCAAAAAAAUGCGCUCGUACGUGUACCCGCGAGUGGGUGUGAGAGAACUAGUGUGUGCGUGCACUGCUUCUCUUCGUGAGAGUACAAUAUACUAUGCCCAAAGAACAUUUGCCACAAGAGUAAUAGUACAAGUGCGUGACGUGUGAGCUAAAAUAAAAUGUGCGCUCCGUCUUUUGUUUUUUAGAAGUUCUGAGGGUAGGGUGUGAAGAGCACAUAUGUGCGUGACGUCUACCUGCAGAUAGACGAUGGGUGCGACGUGCGAGUCUGCGAGAGGACUCAGGAGAGUCGUGACUCGUGAGGGUGCGUGUGCGUGAGAGAGAGGGGGGCACGUAUGAAUGCAAUGCAUGUGUCCGUAAAUCAUCAUCCGACAAACGUUCGCCACAAGCCUUUUCCUGACGAAUGCCAUAAGGACCGUUAGAUCGGCAUCCGACAGUGUCAGUUUUGCCAUGUCAUUUAACAGAAUAGCCACUCCUCCUACACACAAAUCUUCCACGUGAGUGUUAGCAACUGCCGUAUGCUCCCUCCAUUCCGAAAUGCAGUGCAUAUAGCUUUAUUGAAAAUUCGAACCUCGCAAACUUUUAUCGAGUUUUCUUGUACCAAAUUGCACAUGUAGAAUACCAUGUAUAUAUCAUUUCAUUCAUCUUCAAGAGGUAACUAUAAAGUUGGGUCAGGAGUCUAUAAAGAAAGGUCAUCGUAUCACCCGCAGCAAUUUCAAGCAUCCCUUAGUGUCGAGGAAUAUCAUAGGAACUCUAUAUGAUAUGAUUUUUAUAGGAUUUUUUCCUUUAGAGCCAAUUGGUUCAUAGGAAUAGAUUCAUAUACUCCACAUUUCAAAGGAAAUAAACAUGAUAUCAUUUCUAUAGCUUUAGAGCCACUUGGUUCAUAUGAAUGGAUUCCUAUACUCCCUUAAUUUCAAAGGAAAAUAAACAUUAGCGUAUAUUCAAUAGAAAAGUUCCUAUGUUAUGAACCAAAUUACAUCUCUUUUCUAAUCCCUCCUCAUAGGAAUUGAGAAACAUGUCAUCUCUAUAUUCAAUAGAAAAGUUCCUAUGAUGUGAACCAAAUGACAUCUUUUUUUCGAUCCCUACUCAUAGGAAUUGAGAUGCUCCAUGUCAUCUCUUUCCCUACAACUUCCAUGUAUACAUCUUCUAUUCCUAAAUAGAUAGUAAAACCCACUAGUAGCUUUUUUCCAAAACAUGCAACUAUGGCACAAGAACUAUAUAGUGUGCCAAUAGCUUUGAAAGAUGGUCACUGGAUGAAGCUAACCCGACAGUGUAGAGAUAGGCAAAUCCGAGCACUACUGGCCAUUGGAUAUUAUCAACAUUCCACUAGAUCUGCCACAUGUACAAUUUAGAAGACUCCAUGGUUGUACAAAGUUAGUGCGAAGUUGGGUCAUCUAUUUUGGAACGGAGGGAGUACAAUGCACAACCCCAUGAAUCUUAACAUUUUUAUAAAACUUAUUGAUUUUGAAUGAUAUGAACUAUGAGAACUAAGCGAACAUCUACAUCAUGCAUAUAUGACUCAAAGCUUUACAUCCUAUAGCGUGUAUUUAUUCAUAAUUUGGUUUCGAAAUCUCAUGCGUUCAAUACAUGUGUACCUUACUAGUAUUGAGUAGAGUAGCAAAUUUCACGCGGCCCCGGGUAUAUCAAAAUGCAGGGCCCAUGCAUCAUUGCCUUUCGGUCGAACCUACGUCCACAAUUUUUUGUACGUACUAUAUCUCCACUGGUCCCCGAACCCAAAAUCCUGCCUCGUUCCCGUAAAACAAAGCGGCCCACACAUAUUUAAGGCGUCGUCUCGAACCUGUUUACUACGACGUCCCGCAUGCCGUAGUACUCCUACAAACCCUACCGCCGCACUCAUCAUCGGUUUUCUUCAAGAGGACGAGGGAGAAGCCGAUUUGUAGUGGAGGCGCUUUCAAAAAAAAGGAUCUGUAGUGGAGACCCCUACCCUAGGGUGCCUGUAACAUCCCAAAUUUUCAAUUUGGAAUGUUAUACAUUAGAUCAUCAAUGCACAUCAAAUUUUAUUUUGCAUUUUGGUUGAUCCUAGAAAUUCUACGCAACUCAAUGACCCACGGAGAGAGUUGGGGAUUUCGUUAUUUUCAUAUUUGAGUUUUCUCAAAUUUUGAGAAUAGGGUCAUUUGAUUUUAUUUAUUUUAUCAUCAAUUAUUUCUAUUACAAAAAUAUGACAGAGUGAAUAAAAUGACUUUCCCAAAAUAAAGAAAUAUUGAGGAUUUAAUAAUAAAAUCAAAUAAGAUUUUAUUUCGGAGUUUUUCGGUGUUUUAUUUGAAUUUAGGAAAAAAAGUGCGUUUUUCAAAAUUGCAUUUAGGUCCCAAAUAAAUGUUCACCUUGUGCGGCUUGAUUUUAGAAGCCUGUGAAAAUUUAUUACGGAAUUUUUGGAGUCCGUUUAGUAUUUCUUUUUAUUUUUCUUCCGAGCGGAAUAAUUAAAAAAACGAACCGACUUCGGGCCGUACCCGAGCGGGACAUCGCCCGGGGGCAGCCUUUAAAUAGCUCCGCCCCGAGCCGCCCCAGCCCAUCAGCCCCGCCUCAAUCCGCGCGCGCCGCCGGAGCCGCCGCCGCCGCCGACGAUCCCGCCGCCCGAGGUUCGUCGCGCCUUUUUUUCCGUGCCAAAAAAAGAGAAAAAAUAAAUUCACUGUUCGUCGUUUUUCUUUUUCUCGGAUUAAAUCCGCGAUUUUUCUGAUCGCGAUUCCAGAUCCGAUUUUCAUUUUAGUAUAACUUUUCGAUCGUUUAGCGGAAUCAGGUGAUUCAAGCGCCUACAGAUUCGUCUCGAAACCCUCUACCCGUUUAACCAACUUAAACAGGAUUUUCCUACUGUAAAAUUUGCCCUAGAUCCAGAUUACUAGAAUGAAGUUGUUUUCUUUCGCUGUUUGACUUUCGUUGUUUCGUUCGAUUUGAUUCUUUUUGCAAACCGGAGUUCUUAAGUUGAACCUUCUGGUUAGAUCUUUUAUCUGAGUUUUACAUGUGCAUUAGAUGAGUACUUAUUGUAUGCUUGUUUGUUUUCCUGCGAUAGAAUACCCGGAGUGCGCCGCCUGUUACUUCGAAUCGUUAGGUUUCGCGGAUCAUCAGCAAGGCAAGUAACACUUUGAUCAUACCUUUCUACUACCCAGUUUUAUUGCAUUAGAUCAAUCCUCACACAUUGCAUGAUUAGGAUCUAAUUAAAUUGUGGGAUGGGAAGUAGAUGAGGUAGUACCUAUUACCUGUUUAUUUUCAAACCUUUGGGAGUUACUUCUAUGUUUGCUUAUUAUGCCAUGCUAUGCUAGUAGACGUGGAUUGGGUGAGUGAAAACCAUGACAGAUGUGAGAUUGUUAAUUAAUGGUUUAUCUAAGGUGGCAACUUAAACACACAUCUGGGUGGAUUGAGGCACCUGGGUAUUCCAGGACUUGCCUGUUUUCUUUUUGGACCGCCACCCAGGCUCAAAGGGAUCAUGAGACUAUUCAUAAUAGAAACUUCCGUGUGCAGCCACAAGCUAUUAUGGGCUCUAGCAUAGUUGACUAAGUUGUGCGAACUCUUACAGUGGUAGACUAGCAGAUGUAGGUGGUACGGUCUACCCGAUCGUAAGGUUCUAGCACUUCUGAAAGACUAUGUCUCGGUCAUCCGUCUUCUCAAACACCAUGUAGUGCGAGAAACCAAACGGAGGCGAUCGAGUCUUGUGGGGAAAAGUGCGCAAACCUCUGCAGAGUGUAAUAAACUAAUCAUGGUUAGCCGUGUCCCCGGUUAUGGACAUCUUGAGUAUCUAGUACUUGGAUUAUCAUGUGAAUGUCAACAUGUUACCCUAAAUUAAUUUUGUUGGGUUAUGUUUAAUGAUGAUGCUUAAUUGGGAUUGAGAAUGAUGUCAACCAUUCUCAAUGUUUAACAACCACCAUGGUAGUAAUUAAAUUUUAUUCCUUUUAAGUAGGGAAAAAUUGGCUUUACGCAAAACUGUAACCAUAGAGCUUUACACCAGCCAAAUAUGCAUAUAGUAUAGAUGUUACAUUCCAUUACUCUCUAUGUGUUACCUUGCCAGCAUAUUCCAUGUGCUGACCCAUUUUCGGGCUACAACAUUAAUGUUGCAGACUUUUCAGACGACGAUUAAGGAGUUUUUAGGUCGUGGUUCUAUACUCAGUGAUGCCGUUGGAGUUGAUGGACUCACUUAUCUUCCAAGCCUUCCGUUGUUAUCGUUAUUAGAUGGCCUUAAGCCAUAUUUAUUGUAAUAAGUUCUCUUUUGAGACACUCGAUGUAAUAAGUGUGUGAUUGCUACUCUCUUAUAAAUCUUUCGAGUACUGUGUGGUGUCAGCAUUAUUGAUCCAGGGAUGACACCGGAGCAUAGAGAUCAGACUGUUUGAGGUCUGGUCGCUACAGAGAUGGUAUCAGAGCACACGCUGACGGUAGGACACGACCACUAAGCACAAGACCUAGAUCACUAUUCACUCUCUUCUUUUCUGACCUCUCAUCUUUUCUACUCUUUAGGAUGGCGGACGCAAGGAACAAGUUCACGCAACCGGAUGAAGAUACACCCUUUGGACGUCACUUGAAGGAAGUCACUAGAUACCUGAAUAUAGGAGUACCAAGCUUCACGGGAACCUACAACGCCACUUUACCUGAAGAAGAGCGCUGGAUGAUUCAAGUUCAAGUUCCAGGAAGGACGUUCAUGCCAGUCACUGAGCCCAUAGAGUUUUCUUUUGAUGCACCAACUUGGAGUCUAGGAAAGAGCAUGGCAGCUCACAUCGCUAUGGGACGCAUUGGAGAAGUCUACCGCAAGGAUCUCAAGGAUACUAUCUACCAGAUUUGUGGGCGCCGAGAUGAACACUGGGGGAUGAUCAGCACCAGGAAGGAUAGAUCAAUCGCAGCUUUUAUCCAGGAGCUAAACCAGCACAUUCGACGACAGGAGAACCAAAUGUGCGCCGACAUGAUAGAUCUGAAGAAGGCCAAGACUAGAAUCAAGGAACUGGAGGAAGAACUCAAGGCUACACGUGAAGAUUAUGAAGAGGAAAUUGAAGUAUUGGUGGAGAAGAAUGACGACCUAAUCAAGAAGAUUGGAAUAUUUAUGGGAGGCCCUACGCCAGUAGAUGAAGACGAAGAACCUCAGGAGAUUAGCCCGGAAGACUACAUCAUCAUCGACGGCACCGACACGGAAGCAGAUAGUAGCGAUGAUGACUAUGUUGAUGAAGUUGGAGCAAAUAUCUUGGAGUCAACGACCGUAGAAUAUUUCUAGUAGACCACCUCAUCAGUAGUAGUAGUCCACCAUGUAAAUAUAGUAGUCCGAGCACUUUUGCGAUAGAUAGAUCGAUUGUAUGCCCUUGUUUGAUUAAUUGAAGUGAAUUGUUUGUUUUGCCUCAUGUGCAUAUGGGUAGUGUUUUCUCUUUAGACCCCCUCUAUUCUUAUAUCUCAUCUUUUCUAAACCCUCAGAUGCCUCCGAGACGUGACCCCGGAUUUGUCUUUCCACCGGAUCUCACCCAGUUGAUCCAGCAGCAGAACACAUUGAUGCAGUUGCUAGUCCAGAAUCAGAAUCAGGGGAACAACAACAACAACAACCCACCACCACCACCACCUGUUGACCACUUAGCCCGUUUUCUUAGGCUGAAUCCGCCAGUGUUUUCCAGUAGCAUCGAGCCGAUAGUAGCAGAUGAUUGGCUCCGCAAGACAGCUAGGGAGUUGACCACAGUAGGAUGCACAGAUGCGGAGAAGGUGAAGUUUGCCGCACAUCAGUUAGAACGACCCGCAGCAUCAUGGUUGGAGAAUUUCACAGCCACUUUCCCUGUAGACACUGUCACAUGGGACCAGUUUCAGCAGGCUUUUCAUACUGCACAUGUUUAAGCAGGAGCUAUGGCCAUGAAGAAGCGUGAGUUUCGCAACUUGCGCCAAGGAGGAAGGACAGUUGGCCAGUAUGUGGAGGAAUUUAGUAAGUUAGCACGUUAUGCCCCAUACGACGUCGCUACGGAUGCAGCUAAGCAGGAGAAGUUUUUGGAAGGACUGAUUGAUGAGUUGAGCAUGCAGUUGAUGGUAGCAACCUUCAACAACUACCAGGAGUUGGUAGAUCGUGCUCUUAUGAUUGAAGGGAAGCAGAAGCAGAUUGAGAAUCGCAAGAGGAAGUAUGGACAAGGGAAGUAUAAUUCAGGAGCUUAGCAGAAGCCACGUUUUACCCCUAGACCGGGAGGUCAUUUUCAGCAUACCAUGGAGGAGGUAGCUCGCACAAUCACAAUGGCACCAAGAAUGAUAAUGGCAAUGGAGGAAGCAACGGCCAGAACCGCACCAACCCCUCAACCCCAGCCAAGAAGGACUUGAGCCAAGUCACUUGCUUUAAGUGUUCAAAGACCGGACAUUAUGCCAAUGAAUGUCCUGAAUUACAAAAUGGAAAUAGCAAUGGAAGUUCUGGGAAGAAGCCGAACCCUUUCAACAGGGGACAGGUGAACCACGUUAGCGUGGAGGAGGUUGAAGCUUAGCCAGAUGCAAUAAUAGGUAAGUUUUUGGUUAAGUCAUUUACUGCACUCGUUCUUUUUAAUACUGGCGCAUCGCAUUCAUACAUCUCAAGGGGAUUUGUGGAUAAGUAUAACCCAUCAACCCAAGCCCUUAGGUCACCCAUGUUAGUAACCUCGCCCGGAGCAGAGUAUGUGGCUAGUCUAUGGUGUGACCGGUUACCAUUAAGGAUUGGUAACUAUGUUUUUCCCUCAGACCUAAUAGUAUUGGAAUCUCAAGGAUUGGAUGUGAUAUUAGGCAUGGAUUGGUUAUCAAAGUAUGAAGGGAAUAUUGUAUGUGCUAGUAAGUCAAUUUUGCUUACCACCCCAGAAGGGAGAAGGAUCAAGUAUGUAUCCCGGCAUGUGCCAAAGAGGACUCAAGUAAAUUGCUUAAUAGGAGUUGCGCAGCAGGAAGUAUCAGUGGUAAGGGGUUUCCCUGAUGUAUUUCCAGAGGAGUUGCCAGGCAUGCCACCGGAUAGAGAUAUUGAGUUUUUGAUUGAGCUAUUGCCAGGCGUAGGGCCAAUAUCAAAGAGACCAUAUAGGAUGCCAGCAAAGGAUUUGGUGGAAAUUAAGAAGCAGAUUAAGGAGUUACUGGAUAAGGGAUAUAUUCGCCCAAGUUCUUCGCCUUGGGGAUCACCAGUACUUCUAGUGGAGAAGAAGGAUGGAUCAUUAAGGAUGGUUGUUGAUUAUCGAGGAUUGAAUGAAGUAACGAUCAAGAACAAGUACCCACUACCAAUGAUCAAUGAUCUGUUUGAUUGGUUGCAAGGAGCUAAGGUAUUUUCCAAGAUCGAUCUGCGAUCAGGAUACCACCAGUUGAAGAUUCAAGAACAGGAUAUUCCGAAGACAGCUUAUACUACCAGGUAUGGGUUGUACGAGUAUACCGUUAUGUCAUUUGGUCUGACUAACGCACCUGCCUAUUUUAUGAACAUGAUGAACAAAGUGUUUAUGGAGUUUUUGGAUAAGUUCGUCGUAGUGUUCAUUGAUGAUAUCCUGGUUUAUUCAAAGAAUGAAGAGGAACAUAAGGAGCAUUUGCGUUUGGUACUUGGAAAGCUUAGAGAACAUCAAUUAUAUGCCAAGUUCAGCAAAUGUGAGUUUUGGUUGAAGGAAGUAGGAUUCCUCGGACAUGUUAUAUCUGGAGAAGGUAUAGUAGUAGAUCCCGCUAAAGUCGAAACCAUGACCAAGUGGGAAGCCCCAACAACAGUUGGAGAGAUCCAGAGUUUUCUUGGACUCGCAGGAUACUAUCGGAGAUUUAUUGAGAAUUUCUCAAAGAUUGCGAAGCCUAUGACUGAGUUGUUGAAGAAAGAUACCAAGUUCAUAUGGACAAAGGAAUGUGAGGCUAGUUUCCAGGAAUUGAAGAAACAUUUGGUUACCUCACCAGUGUUGAUUUUGCCAGACCAGACCAAGGAUUAUGAGGUGUAUUGUGAGGCUUCACGUCGAGGACUUGGAGCAGUGCUUAUGCAGGAAGGGAGAGUUGUUUCAUAUGCCUCAAGAGAACUGAAGCCUCAUGAGUUGAAUUAUGCCACGCAUGAUUUGGAGUUAGCAGCCAUAGUGCAUGCAUUGAAGACAUGGAGACAUUUUCUCAUUGGAAACCAUUAUGAGGUGUACACGGAUCAUAAGAGUUUGAAGUACAUUUUCACACAGAAGGAGUUGAAUCUCAGACAAAGGAGAUGGUUGGAGCUUAUCAAGGAUUAUGAUAUGAAAUUGCAUUAUCACCCCGGAAAGGCUAAUGUAGUAGCAGACGCAUUAAGUCGUAAGAGCCAUGUCAACACGUUAAUGACGGGAGAAAUACCCAAGGAGUUAGCAGAUAAUCUUCGUGAACUAUUCUUGGAAAUAGUUCUGAGAGGCUAUGUAGCAGCAUUGGAGAUUCAGUCAACUUUGAUGGAUAGAAUCAGGGAAGCUCAAAAGGCUGACAAAGAGAUUGCCGCUAUAAAGUAGAAACUGAGCAAAGGAAAAGCUAAAGGAUUUCGUGAGGAUGAGCACGACACCCUAUGGUUUGAAGACUGUGUUUAUGUGCCCAAUGACCCGGAGAUCAGGAAGUUGAUACUGCAAGAUGCACACGACUCACCAUAUUCGAUUCACCCAAGAAACAUCAAGAUGUAUUUGGAUUUGAAGGAUAUUUUCUGGUGGACCGGAAUGAAGAAGGAUAUUGCGGAGUAUGUAGCAGUUUGUGAUGUAUGCUAGAGAGUAAAGGCAGAGCAUCAGAAGCCAGCAGGAUUGUUACAAUCAUUGCCGAUACCCGAAUGGAAGUGGGAUUAGCUAGGCAUGGAUUUUAUCACGGGAUUGCCCAGGACUCGUUCAGGCUAUGACUCGAUUUGGGUUGUAGUCGAUCGAUUGACGAAAGUAGCUCAUUUCAUCCCAGUAAAGACCACUUACACCAGUGCUAAGUUGGCAAAGAUAUACAUGACCAGGAUCGUAUGUCUGCAUGGAGUUCCAAGGAGUAUCAUAUCAGAUAGAGGAACCCAGUUUACCUCAAAGUUCUGGAAACAGUUGCACGAAACUUUGGGUACCAGGCUAGAAUUCAGUACAGCUUUUCAUCCACAGACAGAUGGACAGACCGAGAGAGUCAAUCAGAUUUUGGAGGAUAUGCUGAGAGCUUGUGCGCUAGAUUAUGGAUCUAGUUGGGACGAUAAUUUGCCAUAUGCAGAGUUCUCUUACAACAACAGUUAUCAAACCAGUUUAAAGAUGGCCCCUUUCGAAGCUUUGUACGGAAGGAGGUGCAGGACAUCGUUGUCAUGGGACGAAGUUGGAGACCGCCAGUUGAUUGGACCUAACUUGAUUAGAGAGUCUGAAUAGAAGGUGAAGUUGAUUCGCGAUAGGCUCAAGGAUUGUUAGGAGUUCAUGAUGUGUUCCACGUUUCCCAAUUGAAGAAGUUUCACGCAGAGAUGGCUGACAUACCGUUGAGACAUACAGUGUCUUUGGAAACUAUUCAGUUGGAUAACGAUUUGACCUACGAGGAGAAACCAGUCAAGAUUCUCGAGUUUGCCAACCGAGUUACUCGCAGCAAGGUUAUUAAGUUUUGCGAAGUUCAGUGGAGCCACCACACGGAGGAUGAAGCCACCUGGGAGUGAGUUGGGGAUUUCGCUAUUUUCAUAUUUGAGUUUUCUCAAAUUUUGAGAAUAGGAUCAUUUGAUUUUAUUUAUUUUAUCAUCAAUUAUUUCUAUUACAAAAAUAUGAGAGAGGGAAUAAAAUGACUUUCCCAAAAUAAAGAAAUAUUGAGGAUUUAAUAAUAAAAUCAAAUAAGAUUUUACUUCGGAGUUUUUCUGUGUUUUAUUUGAAUUUAGGAAAAAAGUGCAUUUUUCAAAAUUGCAUUUUGGUCCCAAAUAAAUGUUCAACUUGUGCGGCUUGAUUUUAGAAGCCCGUGAAAAUUUAUUUCGGAACUUUUGGAGUCCGUUUAAUAUUUUUAUUUUAUUUUUCUUCCGAGCGGAAUAAUUAAAAAAACGAACCGACUUCGGGCCGUACCCGAGCGGGACACCGCCCGGGGGCAGCCUUUAAAUAGCGCCGCCCCGAGCCGCCCCAGCCCAUCAGCCCCGCCUCGAUCCGCGCGCGCCGCCGAAGCCGCCUCCGCCGCCGACGAUCCCGCCGCCCGAGGUUCGUCGAGCCUCGUUUUCUGUGCCGAAAAAAAAGAGAAAAAAUAUUCGACGUUCAUCGUUUUUCUUUUUCUCGGAUUAAGUCCGCGAUUUUUUUGAUCGCGAUUCCUGAUCCGAUUUUCGUUUUAGUAUAACUUUUCGCUCGUUUAUCGGAAUCAGGUGAUUCAAGCGCCUAGAGAUUCGUCUCGAAACCCUCUACCCGUUUAACCAACUUAAACAAGAUUUUCCUACUGUAAAAUUUGCCCUAGAUCCAGAUUACUAGAAUGAAGUUGUUCUCUUUCGCCGUUUGACUUUCAUUGUUUCGUUCGAUUUGAUUCUUUUUGCAAACCGGAGUUCUUAAGUUGAACCUUCUGGUUAGAUCUUUUAUCUGAGUUUUACCUAUGCAUUAGAUCAGUACUUAUUGUAUGCUUGUUUGUUUGUCUGCGAUAUAAUACCCGGAGUGCGCCGCCUGUUACUUCGAAUCGUUAGGUUUCGCGGAUCAUCAGCAAGGCAAGUAACACUUUGAUCAUACCUUUCUACUACCCAGUUUUAUUGCAUUAGAUCAAUCCUCACACAUUGCAUGAUUAGGAUCUAAUUAAAUUGUGGGAUGGGAAGUAGAUGAGGUAGUACCUAUUACCUGUUUAUUUUCAAACCUUUGGGAGUUACUUCUACGUUUGCUUAUUAUGCCAUGUUAUGCUAGUAGACGUGGAUUGGGUGAGUGAAAUCCAUGACAGAUGUGAUAUUGUUAAUUAAUGGUUUAUCUAAGGUGUCAACUUAAACACACAUCUGGGUGGAUUGAGGCACCUGGGUAUUCCAGGACUUGCCUGUUUUCUUUUUGGACCGCCACCCAGGCUCAAAGGGAUCAUGAGACUAUUCAUACUAGAAACUUCCGUGUGCAGCCACAAGCUAUUAUGGGCUCUAGCAUAGUUGACUAAGUUGUGCGAACUCUUACAGUGGUAGACUAGCAGAUGUAGGGGAUGUAGGUGGUACGGUCUACCCGAUCGUAAGGUGCUAGCGCUUUUGAAAGACUAUGUCUCGGUCAUCCGUCUUCUCAAACACCAUGUAGUGCGAGAAACCAAACGGAGGCAAUCGAGUCUUGUGGGGAAAAGUGUGCAAACCUCUGCAGAGUGUAAUAAACUAAUCAUGGUUAGCCGUGUCCCCGGUUAUGGACAUAUUUGGCUAGUAAUUAAAUUUUAUUCCUUUUAAGUAGGGGAAAAUUGGCUUUACGCAAAACUGUAACCAUAGAGCUUUCCACCAGCCAAAUAUGCAUAUAGUAUAGCUGUUACAUUCCAUUACUCUCUAUGUGUUACCUUGCCAGCAUAUUCCAUGUGCUGACCCGUUUUCGGGCUGCAACGUUAAUGUUGCAGACUUUUCAGACGACGAUUAAGGAGUUUUUAGGUCGUGGUUUUAUACUCAGUGAUGCUGUUGGAGUUGAUGGACUCACUUAUCUUCCAAGCCUUCCGCUGUUAUCGUUGUUAGAUGGCCUUAAGCCAUAUUUAUUGUAAUAAGUUCUCUUUUGAGACACUCGAUGUAAUAAGUGUGUGAUUGCUACUCUAUUAUAAAUCCUCCGAGUACUGUGUGGUGUCAGCAUUACUGAUCCAGGGAUGACACCAGAGCACAGAGAUCAGACUGUUUGAGGUCUGGUGGCUACAGUGCCCUAGAUAGCUGCCGCACGCAUCAUUGUUUUCUCUUUUCUUUAUGCUCUUGCGCCCUAGAGUGAAAUGAUGGUUGCUUCGUCCGUCCAGCUUAAUGCGGGAAAGGUGGGGCUUUGUGAUUUGACCCCUCGUCGCUCAUUUUCUACUACUGCGGCGCUACGACCGUGGUGCCUCCAAUUCCAACCGCUGCUCCGAACUGUAAUUUGGUGCAUCACACGUGGAACAAGACGGUGGAUGAGCCACAUGUCGGCCAAAGGGGUCCUGUUAAGUGUGUCGCCAUUUCGUGUGCGGACUGACCCUGCUUGAGUUGCUAUGCCUACCACUUGGUUUUGCUCCUUCGGGAAUCCCGACUAUAUUGAUCUAAAAAGAUACAUGUUGAAUUACCCUCUCCGUCUCGGUUUUUUUAUUUUUAGGCGUGUCGGUUUAUAGGGCAUGCACGUAGUUCUAGGUCAUCCAUUUGACUAACUAAAUAUGAGUUACUAUGUCACAAAAAGUAUAUCAUUGGAUUCUUAAGAGGAUAUAGUUGUAUUUAAAAGUCGAGGGCGGGGCUUUUCCUGCGCGGUAGGCGGCGGGGCAGUUCCUCCUAGUCGGUUCGACAGAGACGUGAGAGGACGUGGGAGUAGGCUGCUGCAAACGUAGGGCUGUGUGAUUUGACAGCGAGUUACUGCUAGACAGGUGGGGCCCCGUGAUUUGACUUGCCAUUAUCAUUUUAACUGCGGUGCUACGACCGGCAUGAGUCUCCCAGAUUCCUGACCAUCUCCAUACAGGUGCCUCUCCCAAUGCUCCACCAUGUAGUAGAGGCUGGCUCUUGCAUGAGAGCCCACUUCUCCACUUUUUCCUUGCCUCUCUUUCCUCCACAUAUGCAAAAAUGCCAUGUAAAGUGCACUAUUGUACUUACUUUUACUUGCUCCUAGAGGUGCUUAAGCUUGCCACAUAAGCAUAAAGUCUGAUGUGGCAAGUUAAUCAAGAAGAGAGAGACUAGUUUGGUGACCCAAGGAAGAAACGGUGCUAAGCGCGUGUACCUAGGUGAAAAGACAAUUUUGAGUCUAUAGCUAAUUAAAUGAAGCAAACUUAGCAACACCAUUUCAUUGGAAGAGGUCACUCCUUGGCAAAUGCAAUAAAUACACGCGCUUAGCACCGUUUCUUCCUUGAGUAUGAAGAAAGAGAUAGAGAGGAGUAAAAAAAUACACUUAUAGCCAACCUUGUUGUAGUAUGAGUGACUAAGUGAUGACUAUGUAUGACAUGCCAACAUCAGAUAGCCCAACACACCGUGUUAAAUCUCCAAGGGCGCGACUGCGCGAGCGACGCGACGGUCGUGGUAGGCGCGACCAUGAUACGGGCUGCUGGCAGCCCUUGGAUCUGAGAUCAAACGGUCGCAUGCUAUGUUGCUAAAAAAUUGCAGAAUAACCCUCCAGGAUAGGAUAUUCACCCAUAGGUCUAGAAUCACACCAUACAACCGUUCGAUCUCAGAUCCAAGGGCUCUCGGAAGCCCGUAUCAUGGGAGAAUGGAAAGCCACUACCCUGCCGAACGCACGCUGGCAGUUCGCUCCUACUCGUCCCUGCACGUCCUUCAAUACUACGGCGGUUCGUUCCUACUCGUCCCCGCACGUCCUUCAAUACUAUGGCGGUUCGCUCCUAGUCAUCCCGUCCAUUCACAUUAUGGCAGUUCCACUAAUCCUAACCCUCCUCCCAAAUCCAUGGCGCCCCAAAUCUCCACGAUCAGCGGUGAGUACAAGGUUAGAACCAUCACUGGCGAUGAGUUUGACGUCAUCUACACCCGUUCUUCCGCGACGGUGAAAGGAUGCCUUUCUCGCUUCAGUCGCAUGUUCGAAGACUCAGAUGAUGAGUGGGUCGCUAGGCUAGAUGUUGAGUACACCACAGUCCUGGGACGAGAGAAGGAUCUAAAGGACGAAGAGAGGAAGAAGCCCGCCAUGAUCCAGGUUUGCGUGCAUGACUUAUUCUUGGUCUACCACAUAUGCCAUGCCGACGUUGAGUGCCAGGAUUUUAAGGACUUCCUCGAGAGCAACCUAGUCAAAUUCGUUACUGUAGACUUUGGUAACGACAAAGACGUCCUGCAUCGGAUAGGCCUCGUUGUAGGCAACACCUUCGACCUCCAGAAGAAUCGGCCGGUGUCCGCUCGUCAGCCUUCACUGCUGACCCUGGAAGGAGCCAUGGUUCAUCCUUCAUACGGUAAACUGGAGAAACCUCCAUACACGCUUCAUCGUCAUGCAUGGCAGCGGAAUGUACUAGAUAUAGACCACAUCCACUACACUGCAAUGGAUGGCUACCUUUGCUUCAAUAUCUACAAGGGUUGGAUGAAGAGCAACAGCCAAGUGUGCGGUUCAAGCAAAGAAGUAUCGGCCAAGAGGAAGAGGGACAAGGACGAAGUCGAGGACGUGGACGAGGACUCCGAGUAAGGUGGUAGUGUCGUUGCUCAUGGUGGUUCUAAUGCAGUGUCUGCCGGAAUAGUUGCAAAGUUUAAUUUCAGGUGUGCUUAAUUUAAUUUGAGGGGUGUGUUGUGUUGAGCCCCCAGCAAAACUAUGUUAUGUUUCUUCUCGUUACUUUAACUCUUCAGUAUGUACAUACUAGUAUUUCUUACAUUUCAUCUUUUAGUUGGUAUAGUACUACCACUCGUUUCGUCACAAUAUAUAUGUAUAAUAUAUAUGGCCAACAUCAUAUAGCCAGCAGUUUAGUUGUCAAAGAAUUUCAGGGUGCUUAGUUUUGUCUAAGAAUUCCAGGAUGCUUAGGCCUCUUUUGGUUCAUAGGAUAGGAUUAUCGUAGGAAUAGGAAUUUUGUAGGAAAUGAGAUGACAUGUAUCUCAAAUCCUAUGAGUUGGAAUAGGAAAUGAGAUGUCAUUUGGUUGACACCAAAGGAAUUUUUCCAUUGAGUCUAGGCUCAUUUUUAUUUUCCUAUAAAAUGUGGAGGAUAGGAACCAAUCCUAUGUAGGAAUAAGAAUCCAUUCCUAUGAACCAAAGGGCUCUAAAGGAAAAAUUCCUAUAAGAAAUCCUAUCCUCUAGAAUUCCUAUGAAAUUCCUCCAAACCAAAGGAGGCCUUAGAGGGUGCUUGGAUCCAAGGGACUUAUUUUAGUCUGACUAAAAAUAGUCUCUUUAAGAGGCUAAAGUUCCAAGCACCCCUGAAAGAGGGGCUAAAACUAGUCUUGAGACUAAAAAAAUUUAGUCAGGGAUACCCCUACUAAAAUGUGGAUUAGUCCUCUCUCUACUCAUUUAACUCCUCUCCUUUAACACAGGCGAGUUCUGGAUUGGAGGGUUUGGAGGAUAAUAAAUGCUCAUUAACUUGAUUUUAGCCUUUUUAGUAUUUGGAUCCAAGCAUGGGUGAGGCUAGCAUGUUUUAGUCCCACUACUUUUAGUCAUGGGACUAAAACGUAUCCAAGCACCCUCUUAGUUUUAUUUGAGGGGUGGGUUGUGCUGGAAACCAUUAUUGUGACUAGCCUUUUUAAUAGUACUAUAUGCAUAAUUUGGCGACGAGCGCUCUCUAUAUGUACUACCUUUUUUAUAAUUUCAAUUUUUGCUCCAUGGCGCAAUCCAUCGAUAGUACUGCUAUACAAAAGUAUACAUUUUUUAAAAGGCUAGAGUAUUGUUCAUCACAUAUAUAGCCAGUUAAAUUCUCAACCUAGAACGACGUGCAUGCCAUGUAGUAAACUGAUACGAAGGAAGUAUAGUAAAAAUGAGGUGAUUUUACCGAGCGAUCGGCGGGGGAGCAUGGCCUGUCAUGCGGUCCCACGUGUCAUGAUGUACCAAGGCGAUGCGCGUGUCCCUCUUGAGGCAGAAGCAAUACUAGUACGUGGUUUGAGAUGAUGGGGAACCGAAGUGUGAAAUAAUGGUUGCUUCGUCCGUCUGGGAAAGUGCGGCAUUGUGAUUUGACGUCUCAUUGCUCAUUACUACUACUGGGCCGGUACGAGUGGGGUGCGUCCCCCUGCUGUUCUGCACUGUUAUUUGGUGCUUGACACGUCGACCCGGUUGCUAUAUGUCCCACAUGUCGGCGACAGGAAGUACAGAAUUCAUGAAAGGGAGCGUCGAUGGAGGAGUAUACUACAGAAUUCAUGAAAGGGAGUGACUUAGUUUUGGAAAAAUCUGUUUUUACGGAGUACGUACCCACUAGGGUUUAUAGGGCUCAUCUAAAAAACAUUCGUUUUUUCGUUUGAUAAGUCUCAGUUCUACUAUACUAGUAGUAGUACCAUUACAUGUUGAAUUUCGAGGUGCGUUAGAUCACCCGACGCAAGCAGUGUCAAGAGGAAACUAACCAAUGCAUGUACAAGUUCAUGGAAAUUUAGUGGUCAUUCAUGCAUUCGUUCUAAUUAAUGCCUAGGUAAACAUAAGCUCUUGAGAAAAACGAGCGUACUAAUUACUUGCGCAAAAUACAAAAUUAAUUCGACCACUCACUGUCUACCUUGGUUGGAGAGAUUUUGAAAUUGAGCCAUAAACUGGAAAGGAGGGAGUAGUAACUUUUGUCUCGAUCACUAUUUGUGGCCUUGUAUAGAUGCAAAAUGUAUUUUUUUAUAGUGGCCUUGUAUAAGUAAAUGGAGGGAGUACUAACCAAAGUACGUAGAAGGGACGAGGAGUAAACGGAGGGAGUAGUAAAAUUUUCUCCUCGUGCUGCGAGCCACUGCGCGCGUGGGCGAGGGAGCGGGCGUAAGGCGUACUAGUAAGCAAGCUUCACCUCAUCCUGCGAGCCACCGCGCCCGUGGGCGGGGGAGACGGCAUACUAAGCAAGCUUCUCCUCGUUCUGCGAGUUGACGGGACACAUCAAAAGUACUCCAGCGUAUAGAGCCUUGCAUCUAAGGUAGGCCCCACAUGGUUUGCCUCUUUUUUUAAUUUAACAUGACACGUCAAGUCGCAAUUUGUUUGUUCACCCGUGGUAGACAAUCCUCCCUCCACCAAGUGGACAACCUAUACACGUGCCAAAUUACCACGCGGGCUGCCUUUUUCGUAUAGAAAUGAGCUCCACCGUGUACCCGCGCGGGUGUGGUUGGGAAAGAGAUGGGAGUACGUGCACCGUGCGUGCACCGUGCGUGCACCUCUUCUCUUCGUGCACGUCCCCCACCUACAUGGGUGUGUGUGAGAGAGAUACAAACCUAGACAUAAUGCGUCGUCCAUCCCCAUGCCUCUGCCCAGUCCGACCACCAGUCACCACCACGCCCCACUCCUCCUCACCUUAUCUCUCAUCUUUCUCCCUCCAUUUUUAUAUACAAGGGGCCACUAUCAAAAUUACAAUUUGCAGAUAUACAAGGCCACCAAGGCCACUAACACUAAUUGAUGCAAUAUUAAUGGUGUUUGCCUCUUGGUACUAGCAAAGGAGGACAUUAAUUAUCCCUUGCAUGGAUGCGAGAGUUUGUAAAAAAAUGAAUCUUGAUGUUCCGUGCAAUGCACGGGAAUCUUGCUAGUCCAUGAAAACAACACAUGGCAAAAUUCCACGGCUUGGGGUGGCAACUGGCUCCAUCGGGCGAGGGGAGGGAGGUGGAUCAGCGAGCUGCAUAGCUCGUAUCCGGCGGGCUACCCAGCCGGCUUGGAUGCGGAAUAACUACUCUUCGUAAGCCAUUGUAAGAGUGGACAAAAUGGUGGAGGAGAUAGGGGAGCGGCCCGGUCAUGAACGGACGUGUGUCCAGAGUGGGUUUCUCGGCUUCCACAUGGGCGGGUUUCAUGGAGGCGUUUGAAUGCGGCACGGAGGCGUGUUCAGCCGGGCGUGCCGCGAGUGGCGCCCUCGACUCUGACCUAGGACACUGCGCCGUUCUUCCACUGACAUGUGGGCUCUUUGGGUGCAUGGCAUGCAUGUCAGUGACCCAACAUAGGCAGUGCAUAGCAGAGGAACCUUUGGUGGGCCAGGGCGGUUAGAAGCGGGCAUUUCAUAAACUGAUGAUUGUUCAUUGAGUGUGACGUCAUCUUUUUCAUGUAGAUAAGCCUACUAUGUUGAUAGCCCGUUCGAUAUGUUGUGAUUCAUAAAGACCGCUGCAAACAUCAAUGUUCUGCUUAUCACAGAUAAGAUUGAUUAAUACCCGUAACAAUCCAUGUCCUUAACAAAGGGUGCAUGCACGUAUAGGUUGAACGUGUGUCUUGCGUCGUGUGUUGUGUGCAUGCAGGCGUGUGAGUGUUGCGUGCGUGCAAGGGUACGUUUCAGUGUUGCAUGCAUGGGUGCAUACGUGCGUGUGUUCGUGAGUGCAUGUGUACGUGUCAGUGUUGCAUGCCAGCAUGCGUGCGUGUGUAGUCAGUGUUGCACGCCUACAUGCGUGCGUGUCUUGCGUGCAUGCAUGUGUACGUGCGGGGUGAGGCUACACAUCAAUCGACUGACUUUUUCAUCUCUGGUCAUUAGAUUUUCCAGCCGUUGGAUACGAAAUCAAGGGCCUCCAGUUUAUCAUCAAACUCCACCCCCCUGAGCCGCCAGCCACCACCGGCCGAACCGCCAACCCCCGCCGCCCGCGGCCGGCCCGCCCUCCCCGAAACCACUCAUUUAUUACCAUUUUUUUCCUUCAUAUACGCGCUGACGGGUGGGCCCUAUGGUAAUGUGCGCUACUAAAUGUGGACCGUUUGACUGGUCAAUUGAUCGUGUUAUCAACAAAUUACGGAGUUGUAUGGUGAGCCAUUGAUCGUAUGAUCACCCUAAAAUGUACUCCUAUUUUAUUAACACAGUACAAACUCAAACUACCAUUUCUUUCUUUCAUAUACGGGCUGACAGGUGAGCCCCACGGUUACGCGCCCCGAUGGUGCAAUACUAGUUGCGCCGCGUGGAACGUUUGACUAGUCAAUUGAUUGUGUCGUCAACAAAACACGGAGUUGUACGGGUGAGCCAGUGACCGUAUAAUCAUGAUAUGUAUUUGUUUAACAUGGUACAGACGCAAGGGCUGAUAUAUACGCGCAAGCACUCACCGCUAUAAGCGCACACACGCGAACCCUACCCCUAUGAGCACCUUCGAGAGAGUGGACCAGCAUAUAUGAUCUUGAGAUUUUAUGAAAUCACCAUAGGUGCCUCGUAGUCGAGUGGAACGUCUCCUCCCACUGAGCGUACGUCACCGGAAAAUACUGAAAUUAACACAAGAUAAAUGCGAGCACCGGGACUUUAACCUUGGUGGGCUCGAGAAACCACUGUCCUCUAACCAUCCAGCCACAUGUUGGUUAGCACGACAAAAUGUAUGUGGUGACCGUGAUGAGCUUAUUCUGAAGUCCAGUGACCAUAUCGUGCUUUCGCUUUGAAUACAAUGAUCGUAAGUGUCGUCAACAAAAUAUGGAGCACGCAUCAAAUGCAAAGUCCAUCAGUGUCAUCAACAAAAUAUGGAGACGUAUCAUGAGCUAGAUACCGUUGUACUAUUGUAUAUGCUUAUUUUCUUGGUGGCCGAUUGCGUGUGUGGUGUGGUGGGCACAUCAUUUCUAGUUGUGGUGGGUCAACAUGAAGACUCAUGGGUCGGUUCCAUCCUGCGUCACAUAUAGGUUGGACCGAGACGUGUUAUACGAAGACCCAUGUGGAGGACUCGGCGUACAACACGAAGCUACCAGAGUCGCGGAGGACUCUAUCCCCACCGGUGAUAAGCCGGCUAUAUAUGAUUUGUAACCCUAGGCCCUUAGUAUGUUAUACAAGCUUGGGGGCUAGUUCGUCGAUAGUAUACACAUACAGACAAUGCCUGGUAUUCACGUGUACUUUGUACACACCCCUAUCACUAAUAUACAAUACCAGGAGUAGGCUCUUUCUUCAACUGCAAUUGAAUUCUAGCAUGUGCAUGUGUUUAUUUCAUAUUAUCUAGAGUGGGAGCGGUUUGAAAUACAGGCAAUGGAUGCUUUUGCAAUUUAUAUAUAAACAUAAAUUAGUGCACUCCAUGAUGUUAGUGUGCACUUUAUACAUUUGUCACUUGCAUGGAUACAUUCCAAAUUGCUAGCUACGAAAUAGAAUACAUGUUGAAUUCAACAUAAAGGGGGUUUCGAAGAUUCGAAUUCAUAGGAAGUGCAUUCAUCUAUUUGAACCCGAGAUAAUGGCAUUUGUAAGUCAGAUGUAAAAGGGGGCAUCAAUCUUUGUUGUGAGUUUGAACAUGCUAUAUAUAUUCAUAUGCAUAUCUAACUUUUUUUUGCAACCAAGGAGAUUAUAUCUGGAACCAUGCAUGAACUAAGGUAAGUUGCAUAUUUUUUUAAUAUAUACUCAUGUACAAUGUAUAUUCAAAUGUACCCUCUCCAUUCCAAAAUAAUUGUAGCUUUAGGAUUUUCAAGAGUAAAGAUUUGUGAAGUUUGACAAAUCCUGAAAGUUCAAUUCAAGAGAACCGAAAACGUUAAAUGCUUCUGCUCCCAAAUAUUGAGGGCUCCUUUGAUUCAAAGGAAUUGCAUAGGAUUUUUGGAGGAUUUAAACCCUUAGGAAUUUUUCCUGUGAUGCUCGUUUGAUUCGUAGGAUUGGCAUCCUUAGGAAUUUUUCCAUAUGAUCCAUUUGUACUACAUUUUGGAGGAAAAUUUCCAUCCACUCAAACCUCUUUGUAGAAUUCCUUUGUUUUUCCUAUGCUAUCAAACAUUCCUUCAAAUCCUGUAGGAUACUAUGGGACAUGUCACCCUAUUCCUGCAUUUUUCCUAUUCCUUCAUUUUGACAAUCCUAUGAAUCAAAGAGGCCCUGAACGAAGCGCCAAAUAGGCCUCUGGUCACCCGAAACCGCGCAAGACUAAUGUUUUGGUGGUAGGAAAUUACUAUCCUAACUCUGGCCCGUGUAGCCUAUCGGCCUGAUGUCCAAAGGUCUAAACCAGGGUAGGUUUGUAACUUCACCAAGACGCCAGAGAAGCAUACAUACGCCAUGGGCGCCUACCCAUGCGUUCGGCCGAAAUCUAUCCCGCCCACAUUUGGGACACCUGACAUGACUGUCAUACCCCCAACCCGCAAUCUGUCCGAAAUUUUAGAUGGGGGGAAAGUUUGUAACUUUCCCCAAAUUUCAAACAAGCGCGUCUCAAACCGAAACAUUAUUCCCCCUUAGUUCCCCGCCUCCCUCCGUUUCCCCAUUCAUACUCCGUGGGCGCGAAAACGCCCUCUCCACCAGCCGUGAAAGCCCAGCCUCCUCCGUCCUCCUCCCCAUAGCGGCCAAUCCACCACCGCCCUCCUCCAUCACGCCGGAGCCGGUACCCCGACGUCGUCGUCCAACGCAACCGCAACCGCAAUGCCCUCAAGGACUUAGCAGCUGAAGCCGAGGCAGAGCUGCCUCCACGACGCCGACGCCGACGUGCGCCGUACCAGAACCACUUCGACCACGCCGUCCUGCGCCUCACUGCUGCAGCUCCACUAUCGCAACCGUCCACCGCACCGGAGCUGUUCCCACUACGCCGUCAUUCACCGCCUCAGAUCUGCUUCCCCGCCACCGACAGACGACCACCGCACCACACUCAACAACUUGGCCAUGGGUUCUUCCAAGGUUGCACCGUUCUCCACAACUUCUGGUUUCCGGCGAACAACAAGAAGAACGUCGGAAAAACAGAAGGAGGACACAACACUGCCAGCAGAAAGAGGUACUCCUCUUCCCUUAUUCGUGCAAAUCUUACGUCUCCGCUCACACUGUAUUCGUCCCACGAAACAAACUAGUUGAGCGCUUCUUACUUCAUCUUCUUCGUGAUACUAAAUGCACAAGGUUUCCUCCCUUUUACUAUUUCACCUUUGCUAGAGGUCAGUAGCCCCCCUGGAUUUCAAUUUAGGGUCAGUCAAACCGCAAUUAAAAGAAGCAGCACCCGCUUAGGCGCGCAGAGCACCUAGUCUGCCUAUUCCCCGGGGAAGCGGCGCAUCGGUGUCUAUCAUAGGGGUGUGGGGCGCAGGAGCUGCUUGCGCCCGAUCUGGAGAUCGGUGGGGCUUGAAUGGAUGGCCGGGGCGGUGCCAAGCACGGCGGUGCAGUGAGGUCGAGGGGAGGGCGCAGGCAGGGGAGGAAUACUGGGCUGAUGGUCACUGGCGUUUCGAGGAAGAUCGUCAACACUGACUCGCUGGAGGUAGAUGAAGGCGAUCUGCCCGUUCUUUGUACAUCGGACGGUGCAGAAAAAAUGGACUGACCUAUUUGCUUUCAGUCGACUGUUAUUUUCAUAGAAUCCUAUAGUAAUUUAGUGUGUCAUGCAUGUUGUAGAGCUAUCAUAUGUCUCCCGUCAUUUAUUUCUCACCGUCCUGCUAUCUACUACCUUUACACUGUACUAAUUGUGCACACACUUCACCCAUACUCACACUAUUGUUUUUUUAUGCAUGGGUAUUUUAGGCUCUGACGCAGUGUUGAUGAAUGCAGAAAAGAAAAGACAAAAGUCGCUCAAGUGUAAUUCGAAGGUAAGCACUAAGCGUUCCAGCGCUCUAACGGGUGCAGUGUCAGCAGUUUGAGACAGUAAACUUAGCUCUGCAGUUGAUGAUCUCAAUUGCCACACACAACCAUCCCAUGUGCUUGCUUUAACUUUGCGCUGUCAAAUGUGGUUGCAUGUUGCAUAUGGUGUCUAGCUUGUAUUGCUUCCAAUUUGGUUAAAUUGCAUCUACUUACUUUACACAUUAUACCUUUGAUAAUGACAUGCCUUCCUGUUUUUGAUACAUACUACAUAUGUCUAUUAACCAUGUUCGUACAUCAAACUAAUGCUCUUUUGUAUCCCUCGUCAAUCACUUAUGAUGAGACAGUCACCUGGGUGGGUUUCUAUGAGACGCCAUACUCGUAUAAAGAGUGCAGUGUCAUCCUCCCCACAUGAUUCUCAAGAAACAGCAAGGCUAAAUGAAGAUAGUCAAUGUAGCUCUCUAGUUGAUCACCGCAAUUCCCCCACACCACCAUCGUAGGUGCUUGCUCUUACUUGGCAGUGUGAUAUGUAGUGUUCGUCUUACAUGAAAGUAGUGUUUGUCAGUAUCAUGCAUCAAUGAGUUCUGAAGAGCAAAUUUUAUUCCUUUUUCUUGUGGGUUUGACUUGACAAGGCAAAAUCAAGAAAGAGGAAGGAAAAGAGUAAGGAAGGCGAUGAUGGUGGUCCUCUGCAGCAACGUAAAUGGAGCAUCUGCACCGAUUCUCCUUGUACUGAUAGUGCAUUACAAGGUCCAAGUCACCGCUCCCCUACUCCACCAUCCAAGGUGCUUGCUCUAACUUGGCAGUGUGAUAUCUGGUUGCAUGUUGCAUAUGGUGUCUAGCUCGUAUUGCUCCUAAUUAGUGUAAACUACAUCUGCUUAGCUUACACAUGAUACAUGUGAAUAUGACAUGCUUUCCUGUUUUUGGUACAUACUAUAUCUUAUGAUAAGGCACUUUUCUUGUGUAUCUCUCAUCAAUGCUCCUAAUUUGUUAAAUUGCAUCUCCUUAACUUACACAUUAUACAUGUGAAUAUGACACGCCUUCCUGUUUUGGUACAUACUACAUCUGCCUAUCACACCAUGUUCUUACAUCAAACUAUUGUUCUUGUGUAUCCCGCAUCUAUCGCUUAUGAUGAGACAGUCACGCACGUGGGUUAAUAUGAGACGCAAUACUCUUAUAAAGAAUGCAAUUUCAUCCUCUCCACAUGAUUCUCAAGAAACAGCAAGCCUAAAUGAAGAUAUUGAAUGUAGCUCUGUACCUGAAGACCGCACUCCCCCUACAGCACCAUCACAGGUGCUUGCUCUAACUUCGCAGUGUGAUAUGUGGUUGCAUGUUGCAUACGGUGUCUAGCUUGUAAUGCUUCUAAUUAGGGUAAAUUGCAUUUGCUUAGUUUACACACUAUACCUGUGAAUAUGACAUGCCUUCCUAUUUUUGGUACACACUACAUCUAUGUGUUAACCUUGUUCUUACAUGAAACUACCUCUCUUCUGUAUCCUGCAUCAAUCACUUACGAUGAGUCACCUUUAUUCGUUGCAUAUUGCAUAUUAUUUCUAGCUUGUUGCCAUGUAUUGCUUCUAAUUUGGUCAAAUACAUUUGUUAGGGAACCCUUUUAAUUUGGCAGAGUGAUAUUGGUUUCAUCUUUCAUAUGGUUUCUAGCUUGCAUCGAUUCUAACAACUUCAAGCACCUUGUGCUUAGUUUACACUUUAUACAUCAUACAUGUCAAUAUGUCACACCGUCCUGUUUUUCAUAUAUAUUCCAUCCUCCUAUCAUGCGGCUGCCUUACAUGAAAGUAGUGUUCGUAUCAUGCAUGAAUGAGUUUUGAAGAGCAAAUUUUAUUCUUUUUUCUUGUGGGUUUGACUUGACAAGGCAAAAUCAAGAAAGAGGAAGGAAAAGAGUAAGGAAGGCGAUGAUGGUGGUCCUCUGCAGCAACGUAAACGGAGCAUCUGUACCGACGCUCCUUGUACUGAUAGUGCAUUACAAGGUCCAAGUCUCCGCUCCCCUACUCCACCAUCCAAGGUGCUUGAUCUAACUUGGCAAUGCGAUAUCUGGUUGCAUGUUGCAUAUGGUGUCUAGCUCGUAUUGCUCCUAAUUAGUGUAAACUGCAUCUGCUUAGCUUACACAUGAUACAUGUGAAUAUGACACGCUUUCCUGUUUUUGGUACAUACUAUAUCUGUCUAUCACACCAUGUUCUUACAUGAAACUACUCUUCUUGUGUAUCCUGCAUCAGUCACUUAUGAUGGGACACCUUUAAGUUGGCAGCGUGAUAUUGGUUUGCGUCUUGAAUAUGAUUUCUAGCAUGUAUUGCUUCUAGUUUGAUGAAUGCCACCUAUGACGAGACAGUUUUAACUUGGCAGAGUGAUAUUGACUGCACCUUCCAUAUGGUGUCUUGCAGUGUUUCUAAUUUGUUGAAGUGCCUUCUGCUUAGUUACCACAUCAUAGGUGUGAAUAUGUCAAGCCGUCCAUUUUUUCGUACAUAUUCCAUCCUCGUAUCAUGACUUUGCCUUUCAUCAGAGUAGUGUUCGUCAGUAUCAUGCAUGAAUGAGUUCUGAAGAGCGAAUGAUAUUCCUUUUUCUUGUCGAUAUGACCUCACAAUGCAAAAUCAAUAAAGCUGAAGGAAAUUGGCAAGGCACUGGAUGAUGGUGGUCCUUCCGAGCAACUGAAACGGAGGUUCUCUACAGAAUCUACUCCGCCAUCCUCCCAACAAGAUUCACAAGACAACCCAAGGCUAGACAGUCAACGUAGCUGUGUAGAUGAUGAGCACAUCUCCCCUACUCCACCAUCACAGGUGCUUGCUCUAACUUGGCACUAUUAUAUGUGGUUACAUGUUGCGUAUGAUGUCUAGCUUGUAUUGCUUCUAACUUUGUUGAAUUGCAUCUGCUUACUUUACACAUAAUGCCUGUGAAUAUGACAUGUGUUCUUGUUUCUACAUCAGACUACUAUUCUUGCAUAUCCCACAUCAGUCACUUAUGAUAAGGCACCUUUAAGUCGCCACUGUGAUAUUGGUUGUGUCUUGCAUAUGAUUUCUAGCAUGUACUGCUUCUAAUUUGUUGAAACGCCAUACAGUUUGAACUUGGCAGAGUGAUAUUGGUUGCAUAUUUCAUAUGGUGUCUAGCUUGCAAUGCUUCUAAUUUGUUGAAAUGCCUUCUGCUUACUUACCACAUCAUAGGUGUGAAUAUGUCACACCAUCCUGUUUUUCAUACAUAUUCCAUCCUCGCAUCAUGUGUUUGCCUUUCAUCCGAGUAGUGUUCAUCAGUAUCAUGCAUGAAUGAGUUCUGAAGAGCAAAAUCAUUACAGCUGAAGGAACUUAGUCCGGCAGUGGAUGAUGGUGGUCCUUCGGAGCAACUCCAACAGGGGGUCUCUACAGAUUCUACUCCGCCAUCCUCCCAACAAGAUUCGCAAGACAACACAAGGCUGGACAGUCAACGUAGCUGUGUAGAUGAUGAGCACAUCUCCCCUACUCCACCAUCACAGGUGCUUGCUCUAACUUGACACUAUUAUAUGUGGUUGCAUGUUGCAUAUGAUGUCUAGCUUGUAUUGCUUCUAACUUGAAUUGCAUCUGCUUACUUUACACAUAAUGCCUGUGAAUAUGACACGUGUUCCAGUUUCUAGAACAUACAUGUACAUGAUGAGCACAUCUCCCCUACUCCACCAUCACAUGUGCUUGCUCUUACUUGGAACUGUUAUACGUGGUUGCGUUUUCUGUAUGAUGUCUAGUUUGUAUUGCUUCUGAUUAUGUUGAAUUGCAUCUGCGUAGCUUACAACUUAUACCUGCAACGAUCACUUACCCAUAAGACACAUUUAACUUGGGACUGUGGUGUAGGUUGCAUCUUGCAUUGUCUUCUAGCUUGUACUGCUUCUAAUUUCUUGAAAUGGCUCUUACGGCGAGACACUUUUUACCUGAUAGAGUGAUA
rnacentral:lncRNA from 1 species